rnacentral:lncRNA from 1 species
CCGAUGAUGGAAGUGAUUCAAGAGAUGAUGAUUCAGACGAUGAUCGUGGGUAUAAUAGCAGAAAGCCUUCUGUCUCUCAAGUUCCUUUAAAGAAACGAAUAGAUUCUUCAGAACAUGAUGAUGAACACAGCAGCAGCCGUGAAGAUGAUGAAGAUGAUGAUGAUGAUAGAUACGAUCGCGAAAGAGACAGUGAUGAUGACUCAGUUGGAAGCGAUCUUUACAAAGGCGAAGAAGACAGACAAAAACUCGCAAAAAUGUCAGAACUCGAACGAGAACAGAUCCUCGCUGAACGCGCCAAUAAAAAAAACGAUAAAGACUUGAAGAACAGAAUCAAGAAACAAACGGAGAAAUCCAAUCAGAGAAAAGACAGCCCCCCAACUCACACGGUCAACCGGGCAGUCCGGUCAUCUGCCCGGUCAGCCGACCGGGCAGCUGCAAAAGACGGCGCAUUGAACGAACUCCGUGCCCGGAAAAGACUCCGCCAGCAGGAUCCGGAAUCUAACUGGAAACGAAGAGACACAGAGUCUACAGUCAAACGAAAGACCUUCACUCCAGCUCCUUUAAGCAACUCGAGCCGUAGUGACAGCGGGUCCCACAGUGAAGAUGAAGACUCAACGGGCGAAAUGGGCGAUAGUGAUGACGAGAAAAUGUCAAAAGAGUCCUCGAUUCUUAAAUACGAAGAUGUGAAGGGAAUCACAAUCCGAAGGUCAAAACUGGCAAAAUGGUUCAUGGAGCCGUUUUUUGAGGAGUUAAUCGUCGGUUGUUUCGUGAGGGUCGGAAUCGGAAAGUCCAAAUCCGGUCCGAUUUACCGCCUUUGCAUCGUUAGAAACGUGGAUGCCGCCGAUCCCGAUAAACAAUACAAAUUAGAAAAUAAAAUGACUCAUAAAUACUUAAAUGUCGUUUGGGGAAAUGAAAACUCAGCCGCCAGGUGGCAGAUGGCGAUGAUUUCGGAUUCCCCGCCUUUGAAAGAAGAGUUUGACCAGUUGAUCCGGGAGGUUGACCGCCACGGUGGACGGAUGCCUAGCAAACAGGAGGUGUUGGAAAAGCGGGAAGCCAUUGAAAAAACCAACACUUUUGUAUACUCUGCUGAAACAGUCAAACAAAUGUUACAGGAGAAAAAGUCAACGAUAAGAAGACCGUUGAAUGUUGCAGCUGAAAAGGAUCGAUUAAGGAGAGACAUAGAAGUGGCUAAAGCGAAGCAGGAUUAUGCGGAAGUUGAAAAGAUUGAAGCAAAGCUUCUAGAACUAGAAGCUUCCAGACAGACACAACAAAAGGAUAAAAAAGCAAUAAGACUCGCGGAAAUGAAUAGAAAAAAUCGAGUUGAGAAUUUUAAAAAUGCUUCUGAGGUGAAGCCGGUGGCUACGGGUUUAAAAGCGGGUGAAGCGGGAUACGAUCCGUUUUCGAGGCGGUGGACCCGGUCGAGGAAUUACUAUGUUCCGAAGCCUGGUGAGGGGGCGGGUGAAGGGAAUGGUGGGCAGGCGGCGGAGGCGGUGGUGGGUGGUGGUGUGGUGGCGACGGUGGCGGCAUUGGAGGCGGCGGCGGAUGCUGGGAAGUUGGUGGAUACGAGUGCGCCGGUGGAUCAGGGGACGGAGUCGAAUAUGUUGCAUGAUUUUGAGCUUCCAAUUUCUUUGACUAUGCUUCAGAAGUUUGGUGGACCCCAUGGGGUACAAGCGGGGUUUAUGGCACGGAAACAGAGGAUAGAGGCGACGGUUGGGUGCCAGGUGCCAGAGAAUGAUGGGAGGAGGCAUGCGUUGACACUGUCUGUUAGUGAUUACAAGAGACGGAGAGGUCUCCUUUGAUAUGGUAGUAAAAUGGUUUAUGUUCAAAAAAUUUAAGCUUUCUUUCGGAUAUGAACUUGAAUUAUGCUAUUGCUAUGGUUGUGUUGUUUUUCUUUGGGCUAAUUGCAAAAAAUAGCAACGUACUUUCAUUUAUUUGUAAUCUGAAAAAUCUACCAAAUUCUAGCAUUGUUUUUCCCAAAGUUUUUUAGGACAUUGUACUUUGAAAAUUCUACCAAAUUAUAGUUCAUGAUAUUUGUACUUUGACACAUCAUUUUGUUUCUGAUUAUGAUCAUGUACCUCUUUUUGUUAGUUUGGGUGGUAUUUGGUACAUAAUUGCUAUUUGCAUCAGCCAUCAAGCUUUUUUUUUUUUUUUGGCAACUGAUGGUUUAUAUGAACUUGAAUAUAUACUUUGGUUUUUGGAUGACAUUCUUAGAUAGAAUGUUCAAAGUAUAAUAAUGUUGUAAGGAUUAAAAUAGGCCAAACCGAAAAUAGAAUUGGAACCUGUUUGUUUCUAAAACAGAAAGGAUUUAUAAAUUAAAAAUAAGUCCUAGUCGUAUGACCAAAAUUCAUCAUCGAAAUUAUCCGGUUCAAUAAAAUCAAGUCUUGGGUAUCAAAAAAAAAAAUAACAAAACUGGAAUACACUGAAAAGCUAGCAACCACUUUAACUUCCUAAAUUCCCUCCAUAAACACCAAAAAUGGCUCUGUCAUCUCUUUUAUACAUUCUUCUUCAUGGUAGAUCCAUUACAACCAUUAUUAAUCCACCUUCCACCUCCACCUCCACCUCCACCCGCAUAACCCCUAAGCUUCUCCAAAAUCCGCCUCUCACUAACCCGCAACACCAACGAAUGAUACAACUUUUUCUCCAAAACAUUAUUACAACACUUCCUCAAUGCUUCAACAUCAUCUUCCAUUGAUCUCAACCCAUAACACCUUUCCCUAAUAUCCACCACUGACAACAACCCACGUCGCACAUUCUCAGUCAACAAAACGUCCUUAUUCGUUUCACUCACCUCACCCAAUACAAUCCUUGACUUACCAAAUUUCUGACCAUUUGAAACCCCGUGAUAUAAGUCGUUGUACUCUUUUUCAGGUAGUAAGAUUAUGAAUAUCAAUUUAAGCAACUCGAGUUCUGGUUCACCUUCGUAAGAUAUUUCAAAAUACUCGAUUUGCUGGUUUUGGGAUUCAGGAUGAUGUAAAUGUAAUAAUGAUUUCCAAAAUGAAAGACGAGUUCUUGUGUGACGAGAUGAAAAUAGAGAUGAACUCCAUUGGAGGACUAUGUCUAGAUCUAUGUUUAUGAUGUCGUAUGGGUUAUCUGGUUCGGUGAAUCCGUAUCUGUGGAGCAAUGCAGCAUUACCCAUUGAUCCGUAUGUGUUGAACACCUGAAAAUGAAUUCGGUUUGUUUGGUUAGAUGGAAUGUAAUGGAAUAAGGAAAACAAGGGAAUGAAUUAUUACAUAAUGUUCUAUGUCACAAGUAUGAGAAAGAUGCUAACCUCUGCUCCAGCUUUAACAUCCCUCACCAUAAUCAUUUCCAAAAUUUCAGUGGUUGGUGAAACACCAUCAUCAUCACCAUUAAAAUCACUUUUUGGUGAGGCGACAUUUGAUUCAUUUUGAGGAUCUCCAUCCCUAUCAUCAUCAUCAUCAUCAACAACCUGCUCCUCUAUGUUUUCAGAAGUAUCAUCAUCAGAUACAGAGGUGAAGUGUACAUCCUCAGCAUUCGUUUUGUGAUUGAAUCUGAAGCAUCAUGAAGAAAAUAAGAACAGAGAACUAUCAAACGAAAGCCCACAAAAAGAGAUUCAAUAUAACUUACAGGUCCGCCAGAGGAACCAUCCCAAAUCCGUAAUGAUCAUCUAUCUGAAAUGAACGUGAAGAGAUCAAACUUUUUGCAGCAAAGUACUGUUCAACACCAAAAUCUUCUGGAUUUAGUUCUAUAGGAGCCGAUUCCACAAAAGGUACAAUACAUGCUUUCCAAUCAUCGUAUACAAGAGCUUUAUCUUCUUUAACUGUCUGUCUACACAUACCCCACAGUGAUCAAAGGUUAGUCUAAUCAUCUAAACUCGAUCAAAAUUUGAGGCAUCAAUCAUCUAGAAUUGGAGAGUAAAGCCUAAAACCUAAAACCUAACCUUAUGAAGCUCUGUGCCCAUUAGGAGGUGAUCAAUUUCAUCAAGAGACCAAAGCAAGGGUACGUCGGGGUUGCAGUCUGGCAUGAGGUGGAGAUAAUCAUACCAAGGGGAGUUUUGGCCCAAGCUUUUCUCGAACAUUAGAGCUACGGAAAGUGCCAUAUAACCUUCGAGACAGAAAUCUUCGAUGAGGUGACAGACGGCGGAGGAUUUGACAGUGAGGCAACUGCGCUUGGGGAUGGUGGCGAUGAGGUCUCCUUCGUGUAAAUCACACAAUGCCUUCACCGACACUUGUUGGUCUUCUUGUUGAAUUAUGAGGUCGAGUGCGUCGCUGUAUUCUACUGAUUGAUAUUUCAUCCACCGCUUGAAUGCUCUCAUUCGCCGGCUACUGGCCAUCGCCGGAGGCGUGGUGGUGGUCGUUUAGGCCGUUUUAGUUAGUGAUGUAGCCAUGUAGGUUUAGAAAGUAAGUGGGCUCUUUACUCUUAAGUCUUAGCAUGCAACUUCUAAACUCUACUAUUUUGGCCCAUUUCUAAUUCAUCCAGUUAAACCUGUUUGGGCCCAUUAACUUUCUCUCCAAAAUAUGUAAAUAUCACCUUUUGUAUUCAGUUCCCUGUAUUAUGUUUAAUAUUUACGUAAGUAAAAUACAAAAGCGUAAGCAAAUAGUUUUUGUCAACAAAGUUUCGAUGUCCGAUUGGUUGUCAAUAUUUGUGUAUAUAUCAAUAUCCAAAUCUAUAAGAUGGGAUAAAUGGAACAAUCUAUUUUGUAUGUUUGUCCUAACAGUAAGGAGAUAAGAAUAAAGAUGUAUAAAGUUAAAACAUGGAUAUUUUUCUUACUUUUUGUUUUGAGCACAUUGGUUGUGAGACCGGUUACACAAGAUGGACUUAUAGAUGUUAAGUUGGUUACCAUAAUGACUACAAGAUAACAUGAAUAACGAUACAAUAUCUUUCAUGUUUUUUUUCCACACGACCGCCUCCUUUUUCCUCCUACUGUUCUCUCCAGCCUCUUAGAAAUUUAGAUUUAAAAGUUUAGAGCCUCUUAAAAAUUAAAAUCUCUCAGAAUUCAAAUUCUAGCAAAUAACCACUAACACAUAAAAGUUUGAGAUCAUUUUUAAGUAAAAGAAUAUUAUAACAUCAAAUUCAUAGAUGAGUUUAAAAAUGGGAUUUGUAGUGGGGUUGGAGAUGCCCUCCUUGAGGCCAAUGUUUCUUUUUAUUUCAUUAAUAAAAUAUUGUCCGGAUAAAUGAUGUAUGUAUGAAAAAAAAUGUUGCUAUGAUUAAAGACUUUUUAGACCAAAUAAACCUAUGUUGGUAUUUUGACUUUUUUUUAAACCUACACCCAAAUAAUAGUAGAUGACCAUUUUACCCAUUUAAACAUAUAAACCCUCCAUUCUUUCGCUUUAUACAUCAAGUCUUUUUUUGUAUUAAGUCAACAAAAUUUAAGUCCAUUAGGUAAAAAAAAAAAUAAAAAUAAAAAAAAAUAAAAAAAUAAAAAAAAAAAACCAACUAUUAAUGCAUCACGUCAGCACAUUUUAUUUAACAAAGUCAUGAAUGCGUCUUCAAAGCCAUAAAAGUUUUGAUUUGAUAGCUCUUCACACAUAUAAAUGGCACUCUUUUCCCCCUUUUAACACUACAAGAUUUGUGUUAAAUCUAAAAUCCGCAUGGUGUAUUAUCCUUGCAAUAUUUUAUUUAUAAAACAAUGUCAAUACAUAAUCAAUAUCGUACGCAAUUGACCCAAUUUUAAAUCUCUAAUGUCCAGCCUACUAAUUCCCAGAAACAUAAAUUAUACAAAUGAAUUACCACACUUCUAAACACCAACUGUUCUAUGUUUUUAAUGCUUAUCAUAUAACUUCAGAAAAAUAAUUUUUUUUAAAUGAAUCUAAAAGUUAAAAAGUAGUCCAUUUGACUCCCAAAUGUCAACCAGGAAACUUCUAGUAGUUCAAAACCACUAAGUACUUGAUAGAAUAGUUGAGAGUUGACGAAAUUUAGGUUGCACUGUUAUAACCCCAAUCCUUGCCUCAUAUGAAUAAUACCUGUUGUCAAUAAAAAGGAUAUUAUGUUUUUUUUUUUUUACUUAUUUUUAUUAACUCCUAAAACUAUAUAAAAAGACAAAGAAAACACACCCUUUUUCAGUGAGAAAGCUUUUUAUUGCUAUUGGAAGUGCUGCUUGUCCUCGGCUAUGACUACCUUUCCCUUCACAAUCACAAGCAAAUUACAUCAAUCAUUGCUUUUUAACUUCCUUCCUAAUAAAAUUAUAAUAAAAAAUACGUAUUUUAUGUUUUAGCUCCCAAUACAUAACACAUAAAUUUAUGUUACUUACCUGUAAUGACUUCUAACAAUCUUCGCUUAGAUAAUUGUUGUUUAGGGUUUGUUGACAAAUGAGAUUCUAUCUUGAGUAAGUGUUGUUGUAAAACUUGCACUGCUUCUGAUGCAUGAAGACCAUGUAAAUCCAAUUUCCAAUCAUCAUUUUCAGAGUUUCUGAUUGCUAAAAUUUCAUUUGCUGCUUUUGCAUUAAGCUUUUCAGAAGCACUCCAUUCUUCUCUAGCCUUUAAGGAAAACUCAUGUGCAGUUGCAUGAUCUUUUCUUAGAUACGCCUCUUUAGCUGCUUUUGAGUAUCGAGAGGCUGACCUGGCGAUAUAAUUAUUUUAUUAUUUGUUUUAAUAAAUAGAUCAUCUCUCUUCGUUUUUUUUUUUAAUUAUUUUGCAUGAAUGUAUCUCAAAUAUAUAAAUUAUGCAAGUAAUUUUAUGUAACAAAAAUGAGAAAAAGAGACCAAAAAUGUAAUUUCCAAAAUUAAAAACUAUAGGGACGAAAAAUGUAAUUAAUCAAUUUCCUAAUUUUAGAAUUAAAAACUACACGGACCAAAUGUGUAAUUUCCUAAAUUAAAAACUACAGGGACAAAAACUGUAAUUAAUUCAUUUCCUUUUAGAAUUGAAAACUAUAGGGACCAAAAAUGUAGCUUCCUAAAUUAAAAACAACAAGGACCAAGCCUGUAAUUAAUCCAUUCCCUAAAUUAAAUACUACACGGACCAAACCUGUAAUUCAGGCAUAUCCUGACAGCUAAAAUGCAAUUAAAAGCUAUAGGAACCAAAAGUGUAAUUUCAUAAAUAAAAAACUAUAGGUACCAAACCUGUAAUUAAUCCAUUUCCUAAAUUAAAUACUACAGGGACCAAAACUGUAAUAAAUCCAUUUCCUUUUAGAACUAAAAACUAUAGGGACCAAAAGUGUAGUUUCCUAAAGAGUAAAUUACACGAGUGGUCCCUAUGGUUUGGGUAAUUUGCACGCUUGGUCCCUAACUUAAUUGUUUAACUCGGAAGGUCCCUACUAUUUGUUUUUGUUAAACACUUGGUCCCUAUUGUAUGUUUUUGUUACGCGUUUGGUCCCUAUCUUCCUUAAAAAGUCUAUUAUUUAAAUAGGGAAAAAUUGUGGGGUAGGUAAGGUAAGGUGAGGGGGUGAGGUUGGGAGUGUGUUUAUUUAAACAAAUUAAAAAAUCAAGGGCAAACUAGUCAUUUUAGGUAAGACGGGGACCAAGCGCGUAACAAAAAACAAACAGUAGGGACCUUCCGAGUUAAAAAAGUUAGGGACCAAACAUGCAAAUUACCCUAAACCAUAAGGACCAUUCGUGUAAUUUACUCUUUCCUAAAUUAAAAACUACAGGGGCCAAACCUGUAAUUACGAAAUUUCCUGACAAUUAAAAUGAAGUUAGAAACUAUAGGGACCAAAAGUGUAAUUUUCUAAAUUAAAAACUACAGUGACCAAACCUGUAAUUGAUCUAUUUCCUAAAAUGAAUACUACAGGGACCAAAACUGUAACUAAUCCAUUUCCUUUUAAAACUAAAAACUAUAGUGACCAAAAGUGUAAUUUCCUAAAUCAAAAACUACAGGGACCAAACCUAUAAUUAAGGCAUUUCCUGACAAUUAAAGAAAAGGGCAAUGAUAUGUCCAGAUGAAUGCUUAACCCAUUAAGUCAACAAAAAAAAAAUAGCCCCUAAGUAGAUACACAAUCGAAUAAGAAAGUAGAGCCUAAAAAAUAUAUCAUUUGAGUUUUAAAAAUAAAAAAAAAAAAAAAGUAAAGUAAAACAUAUUUUCAAAAGAUCCUAAACCCCUAAAAAAUUGUACAAAACCCUAAAGGGCUAAAGGCCUAAUUAUUGUAAGCAUACCUCAUAGCCUUGAUGGCUUCUUUCCGAUGCAUUAUGUACACGUCAUCAUCAUCUUCCCAUUCAGGUUCCACUGGAAUCAUACUCAAGCUAUCAAUAAUAAGCCUUAGGGCUACAUUAUCAUCAACAACCACCUUCCCAGACAAACCAUGUUCCUCAAUAUUCUCUUCUUCCUUCUUUUCCUGCAAACUACCAGGGGAAGUCAUCUCUUUCAGUAGAGACGAGGCUUUGUCAAUAUCAUUAUCUACAGCUGCCACUAUAUCCUCUAUCAACUUCUCAUCAGCCCAUGGAUGAAGCUCCUUGAGCUUCUCAUAAACAUGAGAGAUAUUGUUUUCUUUUGACUCGACAAUCACCCUUAAAUUGUGAUUAUUUUCCAUUAAACCACUUGGAACAUUUUGAAUAUCAUUAGAUAUCAUAUCUGGAAGACUUGACGAGUGAGUGAGAACAGAGGAGAAAGAUCUCCCAUUAAGAUCAAGAUUUCUUGAAUGAUUUUGACUUUGAUGAGAUGUAGGAAUAUUGGUUGAGAUGGGUGGGUAUGGGUCAUUGUGUAUUUCAUCAUUGUUGACUUGUUUUUGUUGCUUAUUAGGGUCGAAUGCAGCCCAUCCAGGAGUUUUGGCCCUCUUCCAAGACAUAUUCAUGUAGCUUUAACUUUCAAAAACACUCUCAUGUAUAUCAAUGCACUUCCUCUCCUGUUUGAGCUUGCAGAACAAAGUGGAAAACCUGGUGAAAUAAAUACCACAGAAAAGGAGAACAUAUGAGUGUGAUAAAGGAUAUCCGGAUUUGUGCAUCAUUACAGGAACACAAUUCAUAAGUAAUCACCAACAAUUUUAGCUUUUUGGCAAUUAAACAAAAAAAAAUUACUCGGUUCCUUAUCCGUUUCAAACAAGUCAACGCCGCAAAAACAGUAAUCAUCAACAAAUUACAUGCGUAAUUAUCAGCUUUCAAUAACAAUUUCAAUUACAACAGUAUACGCUUUAGGAAAACAAGAAAAAAAGAAUAAAAAAAUCAAAAGCUCCCAAACAUUUGGAAUUGAACAAACUUAUUGUGCAAAUAGAUAAACAGAUUGAAGGAGAUUUACCAAAUUAGGGCUCGUAAGUAGUUGGAAGUUGAUGUUCGUCGUCCGUGGGUUGUGGCCGUGAACCUGUGCCUCCCCACGUUCGGUCGUCGACUGCUUUCGCUUUGUUUCUUCUCAAUUUCUUUUGCGCGUUCGUUUGGGCCAUUAGGAUUUUACCCUUUUCGGUCUGCGGUUAUGGUGACGAUCACCUUCAACAAUAAAGUAUCAAACUAUCAAUAUCGUUCGCCCGCUGUCAAUCGGAACCAAUAUAAAUGGUAAAUAAUUGAAUAUGUUUGUUUACCUAAAACGAGUAUAUUUCAAUUUUUAGUAUAAACUUAUUUUUAUGUGGAUGAUAAUGGACUAGUUCGGUUUGGCAUUAAUUUGGUACUUUGAAUCAAAUUUUAGUCAACAUUUAUCAAUUUUUUUGAGGGCAGAUAAUGGUUUAACCGUUUAAUCAGGCCCGGUCCUGACAGACCGCCCAGGGCCCAUGGCUCUAAGGGGCCCAAAUUUUAUGGGCUAUGCAAUGUAUAUAUAUAAAUUUUAUUUAUGUAUACUUUACUAAGACGCCCAAAUUAACUCAAUUUGAAAUCUACCCAAAAAAUACAUAUUUUUUUAAACAACAGGCCUGGAAUGGUAUUCUUGGCAUAUAAACCAAGAAGAAAACAACAGGAAUUAGGGCACCAUCAGGCGGGAAGGCAAUCGACUCUUCCUGAAUGACGCCUCGUAAAUCUCGACAUCAUCACAUUUUUAAUAUCGCUUCUCCUUCUUACACACUCAAUCUCAAUGUCGGAUUUUCGUUUCUGAUUUCUCUAUUGAUCAAUUCGUUGAUUUUCUAUUGCUUAUACCGAGUUAGAGUCUGAUUCUCUCAUGCUGAACUGCUGAUUUCGCCUACCUUAUGUGUUAAAAUGAUGAUUUUAUCUUUCCUUUUGUGCUUAACUCUGAAAUCUGAAGUGAAUAGCAAAUACCAAUUAAGGUUUGUGUGACAACCGUCAAUUUCCAGUCAAAUCAAAGUCAACAAGUCAAACCGGUCAACUUAUCUAACCCUUGUAUACUAGGGUUUUCAUUAUGUUUCUUAUUAAACAACUCGCACUCUUAAUACAAAGUAUCACUUAGAGUUUUCACGUGUUUGGAAACUCUAAACCCUAAUCAGGGCAAGUGAUGAAACUACUCGAUAAAACGUUAUUCCUUAACCCUCGGGGGCAUAUGACAGUCAUAACAAGACUUAACGAGGUUUACGAACCUUGAAAUACAGAGCCAAACACUUAAAAAGGUCUCAAAAGAAGUCUCUCUCAACCUCUUUCACUCUAUCUCUCCAAAAAUGUGGAAUCACUCCCAAAUCCCUCUCUGUAUGAGAAAUCUCUCCAUGUAUGUCAAAUCUCUCACAAAUCUCUCUCAAAACCUCUUUUGAGUUUUUAUAAUCAUUUAGGGUAUCCCGACACUUGACUUGGUGAAAAACCACUUGAAAAGGGGUGAUCCCUUGGAAAAUAACAUUUUAGGGCCGAAGCCCCUCUAUAAGGACCAAACUCUUCUCAAGACCGAGGUCCCCUUGUCUAGCCGCAGCCAGCGAGCCGCAACCUCUGAACCGCAGUCAUCAAACCUGAGCACCGUAGCCACCUUCGCUUCGGACCCUUUGACGAGCCGCUUGCGGUACCUCCUCGGACUGCAGCCCCUUCCCCUUCGGACCUAGUUCAACGACUUCGGACCUAAGGCUGCUAAGACCGGAAUCACCCUCCUGACUUCGGAUUUCUCCAUUUUUCACCCGGUUUUCGACCACGACUCCGUUUUAAGCCCGUUUUUAAUUAUUUUAACGGGGGAUUUUCACCCAAACUUAUAUUUUUACAUAUAAGGUCCCAUAUAUUCAUAAAUUCAGCAUAUUUUUAAGGAAAUCGUUAUUUAAGAAUAAAAUCCAUAAAGUAAGAUCAUGUGGUGAAGUGUUGACUUUGCCAUGGUGUUAGACACAAGCAACCACCCCCAUACUCACUCCAUGACUAACUCACACCCCUCCCCACCAUACCUGGUCAUUCAGGAGUACUUUUCCCACUCAUACUCACGUCCUAAGAGCUAGACAACCCCUCUCUCUCCUCACUCUCCCUUCAUUCUCUCAUUUCUCCACCAAAGAUCAAACACAUCUUUUCUCUCAAAUUCUCUCUCAUAAUUUCAAGAUUUCCAAGGCAUUUUUCAAGCUUUCCUCCUACAUUUGAUUCUUGAAUCUUCAAGCAAUCCUCCAAGUGUUCUUGAGUUGAACACUUCUCUCCUUCAACAUUUACCCACUGAAAUCAUAUAAUGUGAGUUCAUACCCCUAUCUUUCCAUGUUUUCUUANAUUUUUUUUAUUUUUGUGGGGGGGGGGGGGAAUACAAGUUAAAACACCAAGAACACAACUAAACUUUUCCAAUAGCUUUCAUCAAGAAAGUUUAACUCCAUUCACGGACUGUUUUGGUCAACUUAAACAUUUUAGUUUUCAAAACUGUAUUAGAUGCAAAUAGUUUAGGUUUAUACCUUUAAAAUGACUACUUUCACAUCUCCAUACGAUUUUUCUACGAUUUAUGGUGAUUUUUACAAAACAGCCUAUCAUUUUAAAAACAAAUCCAGACCAGUCUGUGAAUAUGGACAUUUUAAGACAAGUUAAAGACUUCCAAAAAUCAUAAUAAAAAUUAUGGAUAAACUAGACACAUUUUAUGAACUCUCAGAAUUUACGGAUUUAGUUUUCGACUCCGUAUGAUUUUUCUAAAACGGUGCAGAAAGGUUAAAAAUUAGUUAACAGCUUAUAAUUUUCAUAACACUUUGUAUUAUGUUGAGCAAAGUGUAUAACAAUAAGUACUAAAUAUUGAAUGUGUUUCCUUGUUAGUUUAUCAUCAUAAACUGAAAUUUAGUCAUUCAUGAUAAGUUUCUUCAUUCAUUUAGAACACAUAUAAUAAGCUAUAAUAAGCAUAGUUUAUGGAUUCAUAGCACUAAUGCAUUUUCAUAAAAGAGUUCUUUUACAUUACAAACGUUUUGGAUAAACUAUAAUAGGUAUGGUUUAUGUAUCAUUUACAUUUCAAACUUAUUUACCAAAUUUUUCGGUUUAGUUCACGUAAAUCUGUUAGUGAAUAAAUUUGUGAGUCAUUCCCUUCGUGUUACCUUCAUGGUAACAAAAUCAAAAGUCCUAUAAAUUAUAACCAGAGUCUCUUGUAGGGAGAGCGUGAUGGUUGUGUAUAGAUCUAUAUUAGGUCUGACAAGCCCGCACAGGAGCUGCUUGCAACAGCUAGACCGGCAGGUCUGAGGUGACAAGUGUCAUUUAACGGGCGACGCCUGAAGAACGUCGUAUUACGAGGCCGUCUGAGUCUUAGCAUGGUUAUAAUAGCUCACAUGUGGUAUUAACAAAUCAUAAGAUUUACAGGUUCUACUUUUAUAUGAGCGAGUUAUAUCAAUUUAACUCACAGGAAUUACUUUAAGUAUGGAAAAAUAUUUGUACACUUUUGUAUCAAAAAGGGUUUUAUGCCGAUUUAAAAUCACUUUUAUAUCUUUGAGUAUGGAAAAUACUUGUUUAAUUUCGGUCCUGGGAUUUAGGACUACCUAACUUUUAUAAGGAAAAUAUUGGAUUUUCUUUGGAAACAUAUUUAUAUUAAAACUACAUUUCAUCUAGAAUUGUUAGGUUUCAGCUAUAAUUACUAAGUGUAUAUGCUAGAGUUAUAUAAGAACCUAGUCACAAUCGAUUUAGAAUUGAUGGGUCCGCCUUAUCUCCUGUUCCUUGUUUGGUUGUGGACCUAGGGCAGACCCAUUAUAUUCAACGGUUUAUUUAACUUAAUUUUUAUAUAACUUAUAUACGCUGAGUGAUUAUAGAAGGAAUCUAUGGGUCUUUCUAGGGUUCAUUAUCGCAUAACAUAGAAGCAUUCAUUUCAUACAUAAUAAAGAAAAUAUUGGAUUUUCUGGAAACAUACUUUGUCGCUUUUACAAGGAAAAUGGUUUCUUGCUCAAACAAAAUUCUUAUGAACUCACGAACUUAAUUGUUGACACUUUUUCAAAACUACUUGUAUUCUCAGGAAAUCAGUGAAACAGGAAAACCAACAGCAUUUUGAGGAUGUGACGUUAAAUCGUCAAAGAGUUCAUUUUGUCAUCAUAAUGUAAUUGAUUUGAAACAUGUAAACAUAUACUUUGGUGUAAAUUUUUCAAUUAUAUUUAUGAUGGUUGUAUUUACUUUGAGCACUAUUAUACUCGUUGUUGUGAUACUAUACAUGAAGUCCUCCACCCCCGGACGUUUCCGUCAUCCUUGGUUUGGGGGUGUGACAGUUUGAUAUUAAAGCUUCUGAUUUUAAUAUUUGAUUCUUAUUAUUUUUUUUGUGGUGGGCGUCGAAACCACCAAAUAAAAAAAACCUUAAUACGAGGACAUACAUAAAUGAGUUGUAGUAGCAGUAAUAGGGACCGAAUCCACAGGGAUUGGUUCGAAUGAAAUCUAUGCAUUAAGUUUCCAUGAAAUAAAAAAAAAUAAAAUGAUAUGGGGGUUUUCAAAAUGUUAAAUGCGAUAAAAAACUAUUUUACAAAAAUAACAAAAAUGGAAAAAUACAAAAUCUAUAAAAUAAAAUGUUCCAAUAUCGGGAUAAAUCGCAAGUUUAACUAUUUGACUAAUCAUCAUAAUUUUGUAGUGCAAUGGGUUUAAUGGAUACUAAUUUGGCUAUAACAAUCUAAGAAGCUUGAGAUCACCUAGACUUUUCUUAGUUAAUACAAUGGUUAGAGAAGCUCAUAACACAUUUUCUUAGUUAAAGUCAUAUGUUCCAUAAAGCAUGUAAUUAAUGAAAAUUAACUAGCAUUAAGAACCAAAAAGUCACCAAAUCCAAGAGGAGUCAAAAUGCUUUCACUACCAUAUUGGAGAAAAUAUUUUCAUGAUUGUGUGAAAGAUAAACAAUCACAAGAACCAUUUGUCACUUGUUAAUUUGAUGAUCUAUUACGUAAUCAAGAAAUUAACCAACUAAUUAAACAUUCACAUAUCUAAACUCAUGACUAAAGACAUAUGAACAUAAAUAGAUGUUUUACUAGAAAAUAUUUCAUAGCAUGCCAUUAAAACCACACAAAACUAUUCCUAAUCAAUUAAUUGUUCCAUAGAUUCACCCAAUAUUGAAAAUAAAAAUUAACUAGACAAAAUAAUAAUAACAAUAAAAAUGAUAGAAAUUAUACCAAUACCGAUUACGAAACGAAGAUAAGAAAGCCUCUUGAAAUCGUCACUUCUUGUUGCUCCAAAAACUUCAUCCAUAAUCCGAGUAUUAAUACAAAAAUUAACCUGACCUAAUCCAAUUAAAAAGAUAAAUAACUCAUUAACAAAUUAUGAUUGUGAAAUCAUAAUUGCAAUGUUCCAAAAAUAAGAAAAGAAAAGAGACAGAAGACAAGAAGAAAACCCAAAGAGGCGCCGUUCUUGUUCUCCCCCUUCACUCACUGUGUUCUUUUUUUUUAACUCCAAAAAAUGCCCUACUUGGGUGACUUGCUUUUCAUCCACCACCAACACAAAUGUAUUGGGCUAAUAAAUAAUUCAUGUGGGCUGCUGGAAAAUACACUUGGGCUAUUUAAAAAAAUGCAAAUGGGCUGCCACAAGCUUUAUGUAUUGGGUUGCCAAAGCUAAAGCUGGCAGCUUCCUGUUCUGAUGUUCACGAGGCCAAAAACCCGACCAAAACUUGUCUGAAUCCGCUCAUUUUUUUGUGAGGUCUAAGAUUGAUGAGUUGGGAAGAUGUCCGUAAAGUUUCAGCUCAAUUGGACGACGUUUGCCCCCUUCGUCUGAUCGCUUGAAGAAAGUCGUGCAAAGCUGUCAAAAUCCGAAAAUUUAAUUUAUAUCGUUUGGUUUUUCUUUUCGCUUCCGGAUUUUUCUACGAGACUUCAAUCGUGGUUGCAAGGCAUUUAAUGUGGCUUUAACAAUGCUCCAAAUACCAUCUUGCUCGAACAAAUCUACACAAAAUUAGUUUAAACGAGUAAAAUAUUCAAAACAAUAAAUCUAACGAUUUAUUGCAAAAAAAAAAAUAUAAAAAAUGCUAAAAGUAAAAGAAAACGAUUGCUAAAAUAUAUACAAAAAAAAUAAGCUAUCAUUUAGUUUCUAUUUUUUGUUUUUGUUUCUCGUCCUCUGUUUGUAUUUAUUUGUUUUUUCUGAUUUUUGUUUCACAAAGCUUUCAAUUACUCAAUUUCUAUUUUGUUUUGGAAUCAGAUUUUUCAAGCCAUCUCAGACUGAAAGAGUGAAACUCAAUUCUCGAAGUUUAUGAUAUUUCACCGAAUUAGGUAAAUGGUUUGUAGAUAUUUGUAUCCUUAUUUGGAAAACUUUUCUUAUGUUUGUGUUUAACUUAAUUUUUCAGAGUUUCAUCUUCAAACUAACAAAUGUAUAGACUCGAUAAUGUAUUAUGUUAAUUAGAAUGGUUAGUUAAUAGAUUUUGAAGUUAUUUUAUUUUACAAAUGUAUGAUUUGUUAUUAAUUUUAUUUUGCAGCUUCCUAUGAUAAUUGGCGUCCACAAAGGCACAAAUUUUAUACAUGUUAGAUUGAAUUGAUCUUAAUAGUGUUGUAAAUGAUUUUGCAUCUACAAAGGUUAGAAAAAGUAAUUUUCUUAAAAUUAGUUGUUNNNNNNNNNNNNNNNNNNNNNNNNNNNNNNNNNNNNNNNNNNNNNNNNNNNNNNNNNNNNNNNNNNNNNNNNNNNNNNNNNNNNNNNNNNNNNNNNNNNNNNNNNNNNNNNNNNNNNNNNNNNNNNNNNNNNNNNNNNNNNNNNNNNNNNNNNNNNNNNNNNNNNNNNNNNNNNNNNNNNNNNNNNNNNNNNNNNNNNNNNNNNNNNNNNNNNNNNNNNNNNNNNNNNNNNNNNNNNNNNNNNNNNNNNNNNNNNNNNNNNNNNNNNNNNNNNNNNNNNNNNNNNNNNNNNNNNNNNNNNNNNNNNNNNNNNAUAUAUAUAUAUGUUUUUGAUAAUAUUGAUAAUAGUUUUAGUAAAAAGGUAUGUUUCUUUUUCAAAUAUUUGUUACGUUUGUGGCUUUCGGUGACCCUUUUUUUCUUCUCGCCCCGGGCCCAAAAUAUUCUUGGACCGGCCCUGUGUUUAAUCAGUCCAAAAAACCAAUAUAUAUCUAUUUCAUAUAGCAAUUGGCUAUCACAAUACAAUGAGUGAAAAAGCAAACGGCAAGUUGCACCCUAGCUUAAACCUUUUUGUAUGAUAAAACUAAUUCUUUGAAAAUUACAUCCAUACAUCUAUGAGACAUAGCAUCAUUAUACAUGAUUUGUUGUACUCUAUUAAGGAGUUUCAUCGUAGGGAUGUAAACGAUCCAAGCUACUUGUGAGCUACCCGAGCUCGGAUCGUUAAAAGAUCGAAACGAGCCAAGCUUUAACGAGCCUGAGCCUGAUCUCGAGCCUAGAAUAAAGCUCAAUUAAUAAACGAGCAUGAUCUCGAUCUUUAAGGUAAGAGCUCGUUUAAGCUCGCGAGCCUUAACGAGCUUUUUUAUAAUUCUAUAAUAUCGUUUUAUAUUAUUUUAUAUAUUAUUAUUAUCAUAUUGAAAUUAAAUAAGCACUGUUUAGGGCUUGGGCCUUUCGCGUACAAUAUAGUUUUGCCCUAGUAUUCACCCUAAUUUACCCCAAGCGACAGUUGAUAAGUACUUCUCUUCGCUUACUCCCGAUCGGAAUCAAUUGGUUCAUCUACGGUUGUACAUCUAGGACUGUUCACUAUUAGGGUAAAACCGAAUUAUCCAAUUGGACAAUUUGGAUUGGACAAUUUGGUUUCAGAUAUUCGGAUUUUUUGAUUGGUUUUCAACAAAACCAAAUUAUUAUUUUGGAUGUCGGAUUGGUUUUGGUUUAUAAAAUAAGAACUGAAUAGUCCAAAAAAAACAAAUAAACAUUUAUUAUUUAUCUAUUUGUAAUAUAUAUCUAUAGUUUUUUUUAUUAAUUUUGUAAUUUAUUUUUUCAAAUAGGAACGUUUCACCAGAUAAAGAAACAUUAAUAUGCAUUUUCACUGAAAAGUUUUCUAUCUAUAAAAUAUUUAACUAUAACAUAUCUUCUUAUUAGUUGUUUAUAAAUUUCAAAUCACAACUAAAUAAUUUGUUUUUUCCUCUUGUGUAAAGUUUAGUAAAAUUAUAAUUAUUUGUCUGUUUUAAAAUGUUUCGGUUUUUUAAAACCGAAUUAUAAAAACCGAUCCAACCGAACUGUAACUGGAUCGGAUCGGAUUUGAUUUAAAUUUAGUUUGGAUUAUUCGGAUCCAUGUUUUGAAAACCGAAAUCAAUUUGGAUUCACUUGAUUGGAUCGGAUCAAACCGAUCCAUCAAAAUGAACACCCCUAUGUACAUCUUCGUUGAACACCCACACAAGGUUAGGUUUUUUUUAUAGUGUUCAAUUUUUUUAUUUCAUCUAUUACUAUUGAUGUUAUAUCUUAAUACACAACACUACUAAUGCAAAUUGUAAGUGAAACAAAUCCAAUUAGUCUAAUGCAAGGUUCUACAUCGAAUCCAGUAGGUGUUGGUGAUGAUAAUCAACCCACACAAGAUGCACAUGAAGGCAUUAACCUCGAUGACGAGGAGAUCCAUCCUAAUGGCCAAAAUACUAGUGAAGAUGUUGGUUCUAUGGACAAGUUGGAAUUAAAGCCUAAGCGACAAAAGACCUCCUCAGUAUGGGGAUAAUUUGUUGAUGUGACACUUCUUGAUGGCAAGGUAAAAGUUGAAUGUAUUCAUUGCAAGAAGUGGUUGCCUAAAGUUGGAUCAGGCACUACAUCAACAUAUAAACGACACUUAGUAAGUUGUGCAAAAUGUAAAGCUUACCAAAAAUCUCAACAAAUGCUUAAUUUUCAGCCGAUUGAUGUGGAUAUGGGAUACGAUAAGCCUCCUCCCUUAAUCGGACCUGAUACAAAGUAUGAUCCUAAUAAGAUGAGAGAAACAAUUGCUAACUGGAUAAUGGGUACCGAGCAACCGUUUUCAGUGGUGGAGAAUGACUUGUUUGUUUACAUGAUGAAGAGGGCUAAUCCGUUGUUUCAAAAGACAUGUAGGGCUACAAUAAAGGAAGAUUGUUUGAAGGUCUAUAAGCAUGAAAUGAAAAAACUGAAAGAUCUAACAAGUGUUGCUUCAAAAAUUAGUUUGACCACUGAUUGUUGGAAGUCAUCUCAUCAGAAGAUUGAGUAUAUUGUCAUCACUGGGCACUUCAUUGAUCAGAACUGGAGGUAUUGCAGAGAUUUUGUCAAUAUUAUUCUCCUUAACUUGACAGCCUUUUUGAAUUGUAAGUCUUUUGUUCUCAGAUUAUAGAAGCGAGUGCUAAGUUUUGUUCAUGUACCUCCUCCUCGUAUCAGGCUUGAUAUUGCAGAUGGAAUUUACAAAUGCUUGAAGGAAUGGGAAAUUGAGGGAAAGAUCUUCUAUAUCUCUGUGGUAAUGCCUCAUACAAUGACAGGGCAGUUAAUACGCUGAAAAACAACUUUAAUAGAGUGAAGAAACUUCCAUGUGGUGGUAGACUAUUCCAUGUUAGGUGUUGUGCAUAUAUCCUAAAUCUUUUAGUCAAAGAUGGCCUUUCAAAUAUUGAUUUUUUCAUUGAAGAAGUCCGUGAAGCUGUGAAAUAUAUUAAUUCUUCUGAGGCAAGACGUCAGACAUUUUCAAAUAUUGCACACCAACUUCAAGUACAUGAUAGAAAAUUAUUGCUUGAUGUCCCUACCAGGUGGAANAUAUAUAUAUAUAUAUAUAUAUAUAUAUAUAUAUAGUAAUUCUUUUAUCUUAAGAUUUUCCUUUUUAUCUCCUAUGUUGGUCUUAGAUAUGCAGAAUAUGAGCCUCAUUUCCAUCAUUUUCCCAAUGAAUAUGAGUGGAAAAAUAUGGAGAAUGUGUGUGAAAUAUUAAAGAUUUUUAAGGUGUGCACAAAUGUUAUCUCAGGUAGUGACUAUCUGUGACAACCCGAUAUUUCAAGUCAAUGUAAUGACCUAAAAGUCAAGUAUUGUAACCUAUUUUUGAAAUAACAAUAUUAGUGUCAAAAAUUGAAGUGUUCAAAAAUCUCAAUUGGGAUAUAUAAAGUGAUAGAUAACAUAACAAGGUUUUCAGAAAUAUAAAGAACGCUAAAAUCCGAGUUAUAACGAAUAAGUUAUAAUCAACUGAAGAUCCACAACAAAACUGGUAAAACACUGUUAAACAUAAAACGUGAAAUUUCAAUAAAAUACACUUUAUCCUUAGGUAUCUAAAUGAAAGUUGUAGAUAUCAUUAAAUCGUAAACUUAUAUAAAAAGAACGUUGUGACAUCCCCAUUUUCACGGCCAGAAAAGACUGAUUUUGUUUAUGCUUUGUAAAAAUCAAAGUACUUCUUUUAAUAAAAAUUUUGCGGAAUUUGUUCCCAGAAAAACACGAUAAAUACGUUAUUAAAACAUUUUCGAAGAAAUGUAUUUUAUUCAUUUUAAAACGUUUGGAUGUCAUCGUUAAUACAUAAACAUAAGCAUAAACAGAACUUACAUUUAUUUACACUAGUGAUCUACAUCUCUUUAAAUCUCUCAGUGUAAUGUGACUUCAUAUCAGCACUUGUGAUAUAAAUAAACUGAGUGGGUCAGGUUGGGAAACCUGGUGAGUACAUAGGGUUUUCAACCCACAAUAAUAUAAUUAUUAUGUUUAAUCAUCAAACAAUUAACCAAAUUACCCAUCCCCAUUAUCUUCUUUACUCUUAAGGAUCUACCCUAAGAAUCAACUAUUUCUCGUUCAUUCAUUCCUAAGGAUUUUCCUAAGGAAUAGGUACGAAGUCCAUCAUUGUCAAUGACACAACUGUCAAGCACAGCUACUAGUUCUAUCACUUAGGCGCAUCUGCCAGAAUUGGGACAUUUUCUAUGAGGCGCUUCUGUCGGUAUUGACCUUUAAACACUACUGUCAUGGUCAUAAGGCUCCAUAUUAGGCGCAGCUGCCGAUACUGUCCUUAGUGCGCAGCUGCUAGGACGUUUACCAUAGAUCUAAAUCAUCUACGGGUUGUGGCGCAGCUACCAGUGCUCAUCUAUAGGGUACUAGGUCCACUGUUGCCAAUGUAUACCUAUAGGGCACUAGGUCCGUACUACUAAUGUUCCUCUAUUUCAGCUUUUAUCCCUCAUCAUUCAUCUACCCAUGUUUUACCCAACAUAUUUUGUAGAUAUAAAAUACUUUAUACAGCUUACAUCAUUUAAAACAUGUAUAAAAAUCUUUCACCAGCAUAGACANNNNNNNNNNNNNNNNNNNNNNNNNNNNNNNNNNNNNNNNNNNNNNNNNNNNNNNNNNNNNNNNNNNNNNNNNNNNNNNNNNNNNNNNNNNNNNNNNNNNNNNNNNNNNNNNNNNNNNNNNNNNNNNNNNNNNNNNNNNGACUAUGCACUCACUUGAUAAGGUGGUGAGUCGGCACUCGGACAGCACUUCGUUACUCUUAAAACAAUUUUCCUUCGAUAAAACCUAAUACCAAUACCACUAGGGUUUAGUCUAACGAUAACCGCGACAAAUUAAUAGUCUAGCUAUUAUUAUUAUUAUAUAAGCGUUAAAUAACACUCAAUAUAACUCAUAAUAAUAGCCCAAAUACUCAUUAUAAGUUCCUAAUAACGUUACUAUAUUAAAACAUAAGUUAUACUAAAGAUAGGGUAGGCAUAGCUCACUUACAGCGGGUUUUCUCGAAAACCGGGCUUCGCUGGAGCAGCGUUCCCGAGCCGAAAGGCUCUUUUCUCGGAACCUUCGGGUGCUCCGGGGCUUCCGCCUCGUGCUAGGGAGUUACCCUAGGCUUUGGGGGGUUAGGGAGGCUUAGAGAGAGAGUUUAGAGAGAGAAAGAAGGGUUUGAAGGUGUGAGAAUGAAUGGAACCCUGCACCUCUAUUUAUAGGGGUGCUGACUGACCUACUCGCCAAGUAGGAGGACCUACUCGCCGAGUUGGUGCAUGUGGCAACCUUCUGGUGGUGCCACGUGUCCAAUUCUGGUGGUGCCACGUCACCCCCUAUCGCGUAUCAGCCUUCAAACUUAGAAAAAUCAUAACUCUCGCAUACGAGCUCCGUUUUCGACGUUCUUUAUAUCCACGAGUAGGUAAAAUCAAGAUCUACAACUUUCGUUUAGACUCCGUUUGCUAAUUCUCGACCGAUCUUAAUUUUAACAGUAGGAGGCGUUUAGACUGUUAAAUGACCGCGAAGAAUUCGUAACUCCUUCAUACGGACUCCGUUUUCAUCUAUAUUUUUACCAUUUAGUUCCUAUUAAUGAGAUAUUCAACUCUCAUUUAGGUCGCGUAAGCCAAAAACCGCUCAAACUAAAAUUCGAGUUUCGGGCCAUGCACUGCUAAGCCGAAUCUUAGAAAAAUCAUAACUUCCUCAUACGAAGUCAGAUUUGGGCGUUCUUUUUUUUGUAUGCUCUUGUUUUAACAUAUACUACAAAUUUCAUUGAGAUUUAUAAGGCUAAAAGUCGCUCCAUCAUAAAUUUACUAUUUACGCUUCCCGGUGUCGUGCCGGUUUUGCCGUAAAACUUCGACGAGUCAUAACUUAUUCGUUAUAACUCGGAUUUCGGCGUUCUUUAUAUGUACGGAAACCUUGAGACAUAUUUUACAACUUGGUUAAGACUAUUUAUUACAAAUAAUCUUUUUCCGAAAAGUCAUUUUCGACACUUAUUGUCUCUAAAUUGACUAGCCCGGAUCUACGGGCGUUACAAACGUCCAAAUCUAACUUCGUAUGAGGAAGUUAUGAUUUUUCUAAGUUUCAGAUAUAGCAGUAGACAACUAAAAACUCGAAAUAGAGAUUGAAUGACUUUUAGAUAGCACAACCUAAACGAGAAUCGAAGAUCUCGACAAUAGUAGUACAAUGGUAAAAAGACAGACGAAAACGCACAUCGGAUGAAGAAGAUAUGGAUUUUUAACGGACUUUUCCAGUCCCGGCCUGUUAAAAAUUAUAAUAUUAAAAAUAAAGUCAAAACUAGCCGACAUAGUCUAAACGAGAGUUGUAGAGCAUAAUCCGACUUUGGUUGCUCAUUUUCAUCCUCUUUCCUAUCCUUUCUCACUUUUAAGCACCUCUAAACCACCCCGAAGCCCCAGUAACACCUCUAACACACGACGCAAGUCCUGACACCCCGAAGUUCCCUAGAAAACCUUCUUUCCAGUCGAAGUGUUGUCCGCACGAAGCCCGGUUCUUCACCAAAAACUCAGGGUGACAUCAAGAAAGCACGUUCCUAGAAACGAAACACUGUCCAAAUCACCAGUUAUCAAGUGAUUUCAUACCCCUAAACUUAUCUUUUAAUGAUUUUAAAUGCUUUUACAGGAGGGGGGGAUAGAAAUAAAAAACAUUAUAGUUAUAUAAUCAAUCACAUGUGAUUUAUAACUAUCAAACCAAAGAUGUUAUUUUUAUACUUCAUGCUAUGUUAUCAAACAAAUUGUUUUAAAUCACUUUAUAAACUAACAUCAAGUCAUCAAAAUUUAGUCAAAUAGUUAAACUCUUUAAAUGUUAUAAUAAACUCUUUUAACCUUAUAAUUGCCAAAUCAUGUUUAUAUAAGUUAAAAUAUAUAAGUAAGAUUUGAAGGGAUGAGGACUGAUGAAUUACCUUAAUUCCUUUUUCUUGUUUGGAUGUGGGAUUAAGGUGGUUUUAUUUUCCCGAAGGUCGUUUCCUUCAUAAUUAUAUAUAUAUUAUACCUAUAUGAACAUAAAAGGUUACUUCAUUCAGUAUCAUUACUUUUGUAUCACGCUAAACAAAGGUGUUCACCCAUGAGAAAUAAUAAUAAUCAGAUAGAACAUAUAAAUUAUAUUAAGUAUAAUUUAUGAGUCAAUCCAUGCUUUUAUCGUAAACAGAUAUAAAUAAAGACUUGUAUUUUUAUUUACUAAAAGGUUUUUCACCGUAUUACUCGUGAACUCAUUGUUAGCAUUACAUUUUGUGAGACAAUGGCUUUGCGUAGUACUCAACAAAAGUCCCCACUUAUAACCAGAGUCUCUUGGAGGGAGAGCGUGAUACUUGUGUAUAUAUCUAUACGGGACUGACGAUUCCGCACCCUGACUGUUAGCUAUAGUCCCCGGGGUGACAAAUGUCAACAUCGGUACUGACGUCUAGUAUGGUUAUAAGAACUCGCAAGCUGAGACAAUGACUCAUGCAUGUAGUAAUAUGCUUCUCAAAUGAACUUAAAGAGUAGAAUCCAUAUGAUCACCUAUAUCUUUCCGAAAAGUGAUUAGCAUGUGCCUAGGAAUGGUUGUGGUGUUGUAGCAAGUCUAAAAACUUACCAACACUACUAUAGUGAAAACUUUAUAACAGAACAUAAACUUAAAAUACUAUAGGAGUAUUUUGUGUUACUAUAAUUACUUAUUUGAGAACUAAAAGUCUUUACUAGUAGGUCAAUAGUUGUUGAGUGGAUACAAUAAGGUUAUAUGUGACUAAGGUGCCAUACUCUUAGAAUCUGUGAUCCUUGCUUUACUUCAUGUUCCUUGUUUGGUUGUGGAUUUAGAGUUAGGAUCACUUAUUCGAAGGUCUAUCCUAUUUUGAUUACGUAUGACUGGUAUGCACUACGCAAGUAUUGAAAUAACUGGUAAGGAUCAUCCUAUAAUUACCUUAAGUAGUACGUCUAUUAAUUAUUUCUUUUACCCCUAUUCUCGCGUAGAUAACAUGGUUGGAUUCAAUCUCCCUGGUGACCUGUACUUUCCCGAUCAAGAAGUCGGAGGAUGGCUCGAAGCUGAACCCGAGGACGAAAACCUGGUGGUCCCAUCAGAAGAAGACCCCGAAUGGAGUACUAAUGAUGAGGACGAGGAGGAAGUCCAGGAAGACUUGGACUCAGAACCGUAGGUCUACAAUCCACCCUAAGUUGCUGAAAAUCCUAACACUCGUCUGGCUUUUCAAGGCCCAAUGCCUCUGUGGGCGGUGAACUUGGGCAGGUGGAACCACGAGCAGGGACAAGAACCUCCCUACCACGGAGACCGGGGUUACUAUAACUUAAAGGAGGGAGGCUCAGUAGACAGAGUCCUUCCUAUCUUGGUGCAACAUAUUUCUCGCAAUGCUGAGCAGGGAAGAGCGAACUUCGACCAAGUCACGGAGACCCGUGCUAACUAUGGAGUCAACAUAGUUCGUUUUUGUCAUCUGACCGAUGACCAAGACUUUGAAAGGUCUCGCAUUGACGCCUUGCAGGUAGAUCCGAAUGCCUGUCGUUCUGAAUCAAAGGAUCUUCGUCAGAACCUAGUGGCACUGUAGAGACAAAUUUGAGAAACGGAACAACAGUUGGCUGAAGCCAGGGCUGAAUCAAGUACCAACCAGAACCACUCCCCUCACGAGUAGAGUCUACUCUACUCUGUCUUUUGGAUAUAGUUAGGUCUAUGUAUAGACUCUAGUACUAACUUCCUGCUUAAGUUAAGACCUUGAACUUUCAGUCUAUUAGGUCUUGGUGCUGUCAAAAUUUUCUUAUUUUGGUUUGAUGUAAGACCUACUCCUAGGUUAUUUUCCUGAACUUAUUACAUCUUUAAUACCAGUAAUAGUGUCUAAAAAUCAAUAAAUCGAAUCACGAAAUCUCAACCGAGAGUGAUUAUUUCUCAAAAUUCAUAAGUCUAUUUUUGGUAGACUAUAUUAUGUAUCACUAUCAAAUCUUCUCGAAAGUGGGAAGCAUAAUACCUCCAACCAAAGAGGACUUAGUCGGAUGGCACUCGUCUCGUAACUAUUCUAGAAACUUACUCCUACUCUUUACCAGGACUGCUUCAUAGGGAUGUAAGUCGAAUAACCGAGAACAGUAUAACAAAAUGAAGAACUUACAUUCACAUGAAUGAUUAGAAUACAUCUAGAGACAACCUUAAUCACUCACAAAUUCGUUUCUUAUCUUAUACUAGAAUCAUGCCUCCGAAGAAACCUAACCAAACCGCCGACAAAACACCAAUCCUUCAGAUAGAUUCCACUACGUUUCAAGUUGCAGUCACAACAACCGUAGCAACAGUUAUGGCUCACCUUAAUGCUAAUAACACAAAGGUUAGUGGAAAUGUUAUCGGCAACCCCAAUCACGGUGAUAACCUAGUAUAGCAACCGGUGCCUAUUUGUAAAGACACUCCAGACCUCCGACCUAAUAUACUGAAACGAAAGCUCAAGAGUGAGAGAGGGAACAGUUCAACUCAAGGACCUUUGGAAGGGCAUCAAGUUGGGGCAGUCAAUAUCCCCAUCAGCCCUGCUAUCCCAACACCGACCGCACACUACCUAGGAAACCUCCCACACUGUGGUAAGUGCAACUACCAUCAUUAUAGAGUCUGCCGAGAACCGUAUUGCAAUAAAUGCAAUAGGAAGGGGCACAUUGCCCGCAUCUGUAGAACUUCAGUCAGGUUCAUCACUUCAACCACCAAUGUUGGGAUCAAUAUAAUAUGCCCUUUUGUGGUGAAAUAGGACAUUUCAAGAGGGGUUGUCCAACCGAGAAGAAGGACGGGGGAACAGGAGGAGUCUGACCCCAUAGCAUAUCAAAGUACCCUGCUAUAAUUUUGGUACGCUUCUAAACCCUAAUAAAUAAUCAUAAUUGUACUUACUCUCUCGUUCGAAACAAAUCAUAGUACUCAUAAAAAAAAAUUUGUAACCCUAACAGGUAAGCUAUAAUGGCUUAAUGUUUGCAUUAGGGUCCUUUACGUGGUCUCAACUCGUGUGAAUUUGACGAUUUCACCAUCUCUUUCUUCGAUUAGCAUUCCUUCUUCAUAAUGAUUCACUCUAUGCCCAUUAACUUUGAAAGGGAUCCCGUCUCUUGAUAUAAGCUCAAUAGCUCCAUGUGAGAAAACUUGUUUAACUACAAAUGGCCCAUCCCACCGAGUUUGUAAUUUACCCGGAAAAAGUUUCAACCUUGAAUUGAAGAGUAGCACCGUUUGUCCUUCAUGAAAAUAUUUAUUACCCUUCAAUCUCAUGUCAUACCAUUUUUAGUCUUAUCUUUAUAUAUUAAUGAACUUGUAUAUGCUUCAUUUCUAAGUUCUUCAAGGGCAUUCAUUUGCAUUAACCGGUUGGUACGAAGUUCAGCUAACUCAAAAUUACAUAUCUUCAAAGUCCAAAAUGCUUUAUGUUCUAUUUCAAUCGGCAAGUGACAAUUCUUUCCAUAAACCAACCUAUAUGGUGUAGUACCAAUAGGUGUUUUGAAAGCCGUUCAAAAUGCCCAAAGUGCAUCAUCAAGCUUGUCCGACCACUCCUUUCUAUUACUUAAUAUCCUAUUUAAUGCUCGAUUUGUAACUUCAGUUUGCCCACUUGUUUGGGGAUGAUAUGAUGUUGAGAAUCUAUGGUGGACACCAUAUUUUUGCAACACUUUAUCCAAUUGAUCAUUUGUGAAAUGAGUGACCCGAUCACUAAUAAGAGCUUUAGGAACUCCAAACCUUGAGAAUAACUUUUUAAGAAACCGCACCACCACUUGAGCAUCGUUAGUAGGUAGUGCUUGUGCUUCCGCCCAUUUAGAUACAUAGUCGACAGUCACCAAGAUGUAUUUAUUCCCCUUUUGAUAUUGGGAAUGGUCCCAUGAAGUCAAUCCCCCAUAUAUCGAAUAUCUCACAAACUUGAAUGCUAUAUUGGGGCAUUUCGUUUCGGGAUGAUAUAUUUCCCGACCUUUGGCACGAAUCUCACUCCUUAACGUAUUGAGCGGCAUCUUUAAAGAUCGUUGGCCAAUAAAAACCCAUAUAAAAAAUCUUCUUAGCCGUAUAUUGUGCUCCAUGAUGUCCUCCGGUGGGUCCUCUAUGACAAUGUUUCAAGAUUUCUCGACUCUCUUUCCCGAACACACAUCUUCGUAUCAUUCCGUUUGCGUAGCUUCAAAAAAGUAUGGCUCAUCCCAAAAGUAAUAUUUGAUUUCUGAAAAAAGAAUUCUUCUUUUGUUGUCGGGUCAAAUCUUUUGGAAUGUAUUCACUUGCUAAGUAACUAGCUAUAUCUGCAAACCAUGGUAUCUCUCCUGCUAUAACCAAAAGAUAUUCUUCGGGAAAAUAAUCUCCAAUCUUGUUCUCUUCCAAUUCUUCUAAAUGUGGGUUCUCUAAUCUUGAUAAAUGAUCGACAACCACAUUCUCCAUUCCCUUUUUAUCUCUUAUUUCAAUAUCAAAUUCUUGUAGAAGUAAGACCCAACGUAUCAAUCUUGGUUUAGCAUCUUGUUUAGCAAAUAGAUACUUGAGGGCAGAAUGGUCAGUAAAAACAAUUGUCUUUGACAAGACUAGAUAUGAGCGGAAUUUAUCAAAAGCAUAAACCACCGCGAGCAACUCUUUCUCGGUAGUAGUAUAAUUCUAUUGAGUUGGGUUCAAGGUUUUGCUUGCAUAAUAAAUAGGCUGAAAAUGUUUGUCAAUUCUUUGGCCCAAAACAACUCCCACUACAUAAUCACUAGCAGCACACAUAAGCUCAAAAGGAAGACUCCAAUUUGGGGCUAUCAUAAUAGGGGUACUAGUUAACUUUUCCUUCAACAAGUGAAAUGCUUCAUGACAUUCCUUAGAAAAGUCAAAUGGUGCAUCUUUCUAAAGAAGUUGAGUCAAUGGCCUUGUGAUCUUCGAAAAGUCUUUAAUGAAACGGCGGUAAAAUCUCGCAUGUCCUAGAAAACUCCUUACCCCUUUUACAUUUGUUGGAGGUGGUAAUUUAGCUAUAGUGUCAAUAUUUGCUCUAUCCCUAACCUUGAGACUUUGUGUCCCAACAUAAUUCCUUCCUUCACCAUGAAGUGGCACUUUUCCCAAUUAAGGACAAGGUUGGUCUUCUCACAUCUUGCUAGCAUUAGAUCCAAGUUGGACAAACAAUCUUCAAAAGAGGACCCAAAAACCGAGAAGUCAUCCAUGAAAACCUCCAUAAAUUUCUCGAUUAUGUCGUGAAAGAUAGCCAUCAUGCACCUUUGGAAAGUAGUUGGUGCAUUGCAUAACCCAAAAGGCAUGUGUCUAUAUGCGAAUGUUCCACUUGGGCAUGUAAAAGUGGUGUUCUCUUGGUCUUGUGGGUCAAUCGGGUUUUGAAAGUAACCCGAGAAACCAUCCAUGAAACAAUAGUAUAGAUGGCCGGAUAACCUCUCGAGCAUUUGAUCGAUAAAUGGUAGUGGAAAAUGAUCCUUGCAUGUAGCAUCAUUUAGUUUACGAUAGUCGAUACAAACAUGCCACCCAGUUACUGUUCUUGUUGGGAUUAACUCGUUAGCUUCAUUGGUGACCACCACCAUUCCUCCUUUCUUUGGUACCACGUGUACCGUACUUACCCAUGUGCUAUUAGAGAUCGAGUAAAUAAUACCAGCAUCUAAUAGUUUAACAACCUCCUUUUUAUCUACUUCUUGCAUAUUUGGGCUGAGUCUUCUUUGGCAUUGUACUAUGGGUUUAGCUCCUUCUUAUAAGUUGAUCUUAUGAGAGCAAUAAGCUGGACUAAUCCCCUUUAUGUCAGUGAUCUUCCAUGCUAUGGCACUUUGUCUUUUCUUUAGUACCUUCACAAGGCUUUCUUUUUCAUGUUGUCCUAGAUCGGAAGCUAUGAUUACUGGUUUUUGUUGUCCUUCUUCUAAGAAUGCAUACUCCAGGUGUCCGCGGAGGGCUUUUAGCUCAACUUUAGGCUUUUCGUCAGUUACCACGACGUGGGCAUCCUGCCACGUCGUGGUGUCGCAACUUUUAAUUCCAUUUCGUGAAAAAAAAACUUUGCCACGACGUGUUCUCCUUACCACAUCGUGUUGCCUCUUCUGCCUCCUUCAUUGUUUCAUUAUAUUCACUUUCUACCAAUAGCUUCUCUAAUUCUUGCAGAUCUUGUUCGACAUUAAAGUUACCUUCUUCAAGCACCAUAAACCCUCAGUUUCCUUUUCCUUCCAUCCUCCUAGCUCCUUUUCAAAUAAUUCAUCAAGCACAUCGAUAGAGAAGGUUGUAUCAUCACUUGUUCUUGAAUGUUUAAUUGCCCGAUUUACCCCAAAGGUGACCGCUUCUUCUCUUACUCAGAGAGUGAGGUUGGAUUCUUUAAUAUCAACUAAGGCUCGGGCGGUGCUCAAAAAGGGUCUUCCAAGGAUUAUUGGGACUUGUUCAUCCUCCUCCAUAUCUAACACAAUAAAGUUCCCGGGAAAUAUAAAUUUGUCCACUUUGACGAGCAAAUCUUCACGUAUACCUAUUGGGAAGGUCAUGGUCUUAUUAGCAAAGUGAAUGACCAUGCGGACCGUUCUUGGUUCAGGGAGAUCAAGCUUCUUGAAAAACGAAUAGGGCAUCAAAUUAACGCUAGCUCCCGAAUCGGCUAGAGCAUGACUAGUUGCUAGAUUCCCGAAUUGGCAUGGUAAGGUUAUACUUUCCAGAUCACCCAUCUUUUAUGGAAGCAUAUUUAGCAUUGCAGUUGAGCAAGUUUCAUUCAAUACCAACUUUGAUAGUCCCUCCAUUUUCUUCCGGUUUGUUAAAAGGUCCUUGAGGAACUUGGCAUAUUUUGGCAUUUCAGUUAGAGCCUCAAGGAAGGGAAUGUUUAUUUCAAGAGACUUUAUAUGGUCUAACAACCUCCCAUAUUCUCCAACAUGCUUCUCUUGAAUUGCUCUACUUGGGAAUGGCAAUGGUGGCCGAUAAGACUUCACGGGUUCAUCAUUAUUGUUUUCUACUUCUGGCCACGACGUGACAUUUGUACCACGUCAUGGUGAUUGUUCGGAUCCUUGUUUUUGACUUUCUUCUUGAUCUUUCUUUUCCACUUCCGGGUUGUUUCUGUCUAUAGGCGUUAAAUGAGUAAUAAUUUUCCCACUUCUCGUUGUAAUGGCUUGGAUAUGAGCUCCUAUUGAGUUUUGUUCGGUGUUCCCUGGAAGUUCUCCCAUGGGUCUUUCAUUGAAUUGCUUAGCUAGUUUCCCGAGUUGUUGUUCUAUGUUGAGGAUAGAAGCUUGUUGAUUUCUAAACAGUGCUUGCUGGUUUUUCAUCAUCUCAUGUUGUUCCUUCAUCAUUAUUUGUUGCUAUUUCAUCAUUAAUUGUUGUUCUUUAAUUGUUGCUUCAGUUCCCUCGUGCCUUUUUUCAGAUGUGUCUGCAAAUCGGGCGAGCAUAGUCUCAAAAUCAGAUUUCAUUUCAACCGAUGGUUCCUCUUUUUGGUAGAAGCCUCUCCUUUUUUGUUCAUACUUUUCUUCCUUAGCCUUCUUAUACUCAUCAUAGGGUAACCAUUUUUUCUUGGUUUUUCUCCAACUGUAACGCCCCGAUUCUCAAGUAUUAAUUACAUAAGAAUUAUUGGAUGAAGCUCUACUCGACGAGUUGGUCGACCUACUCGACGAGUAGCAGCAGGGUGGGACCGCGUGUUAAGUGACCUACUCGGCGAGCACAGUAGAAGUAUAGUCAUGGAUAGACCAUAUUGACAUAAUUGUGAAUAGAUAAGACUCUAUUUAGAAUAAGUUUUCAUAUGGCAAAUAUGGAAAUGUUUCCAUAUUGGGAGUUGGAUAUCGAGAAUCAAUGUCUAGAUUAGAAAUUUUUUAUGCAAGAAGGAUGUUCAAAAGAAUGUACUUUGAGUGAGAGACAUCAUAUCUAUAGAAUUGUUUCUGAUAGAGAUUGGCCAAGUCUUGAUGAUUUUGAGCUAUGACUUUACGAAAGGAUCAUUGCAUAAAAUGUUAGAAUCUAGCAUAUUCUAUAAGUGACAAGAAUUUGAUAUUCUUAUACUUAUGAUAAGGAUUGGGAGUUGUGAAAUUAGUAUGAUUAGAAAUGUGUUCAUUUGAUCUAUUUCACAAAGUAAGGAUCAUAGGUAAACAUAGUGUGCAUGCUAAGAGCAUGGGACAAUUGUUGUUAUAAUUCAAGUAAGAAGUUGAUUACCCGAAACAACAAAUAAUGAAUAAUCAAUAUGGUGAUUAAAUAAAUGUUUUAUUUAUGCCCAAAGUUUGGGGCCAUAUGGGAUUAAUAUUAUUCUUAUGUUUCACGUUGCAUGUUUUGACUUCCCGAAUAAUAAGAUUAUUCAAACUCUCCACAAUCGCUCAUUCUUUGGAAGUACGAAUGAAAGAAGACUGUCAUGAAUCUGACUGUAGAUUGUCUAAAGUGUUUUAGACAUAGCAAAAGUUUGCUGCAGGAUUCAUGAGUGCUGCUAUAAGAUUAGAGUAUUGGAUUAAACCCAUGCUCACUUGGAUCACUUCAUGGAUUUUAUCACGAGUGAUUGGUGAGAUGAUAAUAUAUUAUAUUCUUGAAACCGAGAUGUGUGAGUUGUAUCUUGCGAGUCGGUUAUACAUUGAUAAUAUGUAAACGCACCAGUAACUUGGUGUUAUAAAACAUAUUGUUGUGUAUUAUUUGGUGAGUGAGUGAGUGCAAGCAUUGAAUCAAAGUUUAUUCGUUCCUUUUAUCCAUACUGGGGUAAAAGCGAUAUCUGUGGGCCCCUCGAUGAUUUAGUGAUGACACCUAAGCGCUUGGCCAAGCCGGGACUAACUUGAUGUGUUCAAUUAUAGUCUGUUGUCAGUCGUCAUAAAUCGGAAAUCGGGAAACAACACAUAGACAGAGAGAAUGAUUUAAAUCCAUGUCUUAGCCUAUACGAUAUCUAAAAUGGAAGAAUAUAUGAUCCCUUAUCUAAAGUACGCGUAUCUGAUAAGAUCAGAGUUGAAAACGACUUUUGAAAGCUACGAUUGCGGAUUAGGAUCUGAAGUCAUACGCAGAAUAGUUAUUAGACUUAUCCAAGUGGGAGACUGUUGGAUUAGUGUCUAAGUCCAUAACUAUUUUGGUAUGUACUUGACCCGAUGGUGCAUGGUCCUUUUGGGUUGCCUUCACCAAAGCAACUUGAUAGGAUGAAUUAUGGAGAGAGAAAGGAUUAAUUAUGAUUUAUUAAUAUAUUAUGAGAAUAAUAUAUUAAAGGAGAAAUCAUAUUGUUUAAUUAAUAUUAGUCAAUAACUAAUUAAGAAUUAAUUUUGUGGCUAAAAGACAUUAAUUAAACUUAAGGGACUAGAACUGUCAAUUGUAUGAUAGUUGAAUAUUGGGCUAAUGGACUCCACAUUAGAGGGGUGGACGAAUUCUAUGGGGAAACCCAUUAGAAAUCUUCCUAGGCCUCUAAGGUGGGAGUCCAUGGGUUGCUUAUGGCCUAAGCAGUCAAAUUAGGGUUUCUUUGUUAGAUAACCCUAAUAGCCUCACUAUUUAAAGGAACCUUGAGACUCAAAACGUGGCCAACUGAUUCCUUAGGGUUUCUACACGUUUUUGGGUGCCUCCUCUCUUCUCAUUCUUCAUCCUCUUGCUCUUGGUGUUUGUGAGCCAUUAGAGGAGUGACACUUGUGACUCUAACCUUUCUAAAGCCAUUACAAGGAGGAUUUGAGAUUGUUAUUGCUACAUAACAAUCAAGGUAAGAUCUAAACCCCAUUCUUGUGUUAAUAUUGAUUAUCACAUGCUAGAUCUAGGGUUUAAAGUCUUGGAUGAAUGCAUGUACAAUAUAGAAACCUAGAUCCAAGCAUUAGGGUUUGCAUGAACACAUAGGAUGUUCUUAUGGCUAAAACCCAUCAUUUUUUACAUUAAGACAAGAUGGGGAGUCUGUGAUGGAGAUUAACUGUAUGUUCAUGGAGAGGGCUAUGUUUUGUCUGGAGUUUGCUUCAUAUCAGUCUUAGAUGACUCGUUAUCUGAGUAUGCUCAAGACUAAUAUUCGACAGUUUGUGUCUACUCAGCGAUGUGAUACCCUCUUGGACCUUCAGGAAGCCGCAUGGCAGCGUGAGUUGGAGAUAGAGCUACAGCUGAAGGAGCAGCGUCAGGCACUGGAACAGUCUCAGCUGGCGCCUAAGCGGUCAAAAACCGCUGAUACACGGUCCGUGGGUCAUUAGAGCCGCACUUGUGGAAAGUGUGGCAAGGCCCAUUCGUGGUUUUGUUGAGCAGGAGGUGGGUGUCACAAAUAUGGCAAUGAGGGGCACUAUGUCAGGGACUGCUGUCAGUCUGUCCCUCCACCAGAUAUGAGGAUUUGUUACCACUGUCAUCAGGUUGGUCAUGUGAAGACCAACUGUCCGCAGCUUGCCGCCAAGCCGACGCAGGUUUCCGCGCCAGCUACUGGGAGGAUUGGAGAUGGGAGGCCAGUCAAGGUGGAGCCUCCAAAGGCUCAGGGUCGCGCCUUCCAGCUCACGGCCAAGGAGGCCAAGUCAGUACUGGAUGUGGUUGUUGGUACGUUUUCUAUUCUUUGUCUCAGUUAUUGUAUUCGUGUUAUGCUUAUUGAUUGUACCUGUGAUUAGGUACGUUUUUAGUGAAUUCUUUGCCCGCUUUGGUAUUAAUUGACUCGAGGGCGAGUCGAUCGUUUUUAUCUCAGACCUUCUCUAGAGGAUUCAGUGUGGCGAUAGUUGAUCUUGAGUGUACGUUGCGAGUUUUGAUCGCCAACGAGCACGGGGUCUCUGCUUCUUCGGUCUUCCGGGGAUGCGAGUUAGAGAUUUUCGGGGUGCCCUUCCCGAUAGAUUUGAUUCCUAUUCCCACGAGGAAUGUAGGCGUGAUUAUAGGGAUGGAUUGGCUUAGCCGUUUUGGCACCAUGAUCGACUGUGAGGGGCAGCGGGUGGUGGUUCGAACCCCAAGUAGGGGAGAACUUGUAGUAUAUGGUGAGGGCACCAGGUUGGGAUCAGGGUUUUGUUCGGCAGCCAGGGCUCGACAGUAUAUUCAGCACGGGUGUGCCAAUUAUUUGGCAUAUGUCGUAGAUACACGGGUUAGAGAGCAGCUCUCAGUUUCUGAGGUUCCGAUAGUGAGGGUGUUUGCUGAUGUGUUUCCAAAGGAGUUACCCGGAGUGCCUCCGGAGGGGCAGAUUGAGUUCAGGAUUGACCUAGUGCCAGGUGCGGCCCCUAUCGCUAAGGCGCCGUACCAACUGGCACCGCCAGAGAUGCAGGAGUUGUCAUCUCAGUUGCAGGAACUGCUGGUAAGCAGUUUAUUCGUCCGAGUAGUUCACCCUGAGGAGCACCGAUCCUUUUCUUCAGGAAGAAGGAUGGCUCACACAUGAUGUGCAUUGACUAUAGGGAGUUGAACAAGUUAACGGUGAAGAACCAUUAUCCGCUUCCGAGGAUAGACGAUCUUUUUGAUCAGCUGCAGGGUGCAUCUUGGUUUUCCAAGAUUGAUUUGAGAUCAGGAUAUCACCAGGUCAGGGUGAGGGAGGAAGACGUGGAGAAGACCGCGUUUCGGACUCGUUAUGGUCAUUACGAGUUCGUGGUGAUGCCAUUUGGACUCACCAACACGCCAACAGUGUUCAUGGAUCUGAUGAACCGAAUAUGCAGACCGAUGCUUGAUCGCUCGGUCAUUGUGUUUAUAGAUGAUAUCUUGGUGUACUCCAAGACUCGAGAGCAACAUGAGGAGCAUCUCAGGGAGCUGCUAGAAGUUCUAAGGCGAGAACGGUUGUAUGCCAAGUUCUCAAAAUGUGAGUUUUGAUUACAGGAGGUCCAGUUCCUCGGACACCUUGUUAACCAGGAGGGUAUUUUGGUCGAUACGGCCAAGGCGGAGGCGGUUAUGCAGUGGGAGACCCCGAAAUCUCCCUCUGAUAACAGGAGUUUCUUGGGUUUUAGCAAGGUAUUAUCGGAGAUUCAUUCGUGAUUUCUCCAUAAUUGUCGUACCCCUUACUCGUCUGAUGAGGAAGGGGAUGGAUUUCCGGUGGUGCCCUGAGCAGCAGAGGGCGUUUGAGACCCUCCGGCAGUGUUUAUGCGAGGCGCCAAUGUUGACACUCCCCGAGGGAGUGGACGAUUUAUGGUAUUUUGUGAUGCAUCCAUCACUGGCUUGGGGGCAGUCCUCAUGCAGAGAGGACAGGUGGUAGCCUACAAAUCGCGGCAGCUGAAGCCGCAUGAGACGAGGUACCCCACGCACGAUCUUGAGUUGGGAGCAGUGGUUUUCGCUCUCAAGAUUUGGAGGCACUAUCUGUACGGGGUCCGUUGCACUAAAUACACAGAUCACAAGAGUUUGAGACACAUCAUGGAUCAGCCGAACCUGAACAUGAGGUAGCACAGGUGGCUAGAUGUGGUCAAGGACUAUGAUUGCGAGAUCCUUUACUAUCCUGGUAAAGCGAAUGUGGUUGCGGAUGCUCUGAGCCGCAAGUCAGCUGGGUCCUCGACCCCAACCAUGUGUAUGAGGAUAGCGGUGGAUUCCCCACUAGUGGGUUUGAUCAGGGAUGCUCAGAUUGAGGGCAUGAGACCAGAGAACUGGAAGUUGGAGAGGAUUAAGGGCGAAAGCGCCCGGUUUGUUCAGGAUAGUCACAAAUUGUUGACCUGUUACGGUUGGGUUUGGGUUCCGAUGUCCGGAGGGGUCCGGCAGACAGUGAUGGAGGAGGCUCAUAAGUCUCGUUUUUCGAUUCACCCAGGGGCCACCAAGAUGUACCGUGAUUUGAGUUCGAGUUAUUGGUGGCCUGGCAUGAAGCGAGAUAUCGCUUGGUUCGUUGAGAGGUGCUUGACUUGUAGGAUGGUCAAGGUCGAGCAUCAAAGGCCGCAUGGUAAGUUGCAGCCUCUAGAGAUUCCCAUGUGGAAAUGGGAACGGAUCGUGAUGGAUUUCAUCAUGAAGUUGCUGAAGACGGCAAGGGGUUCGAUGCUAUAUGGGUCAUUGUGGAUCGAUUGACCAAGAGUGCCCAUUUCCUAGCCAUUUGGGAGAGUUCGUCGGCAGAGAAGUUGGUCGACCUGUACGUCAGGGAGAUUGUCUCUCGCCAUGCGGUUCCAGUUUCUAUCGUUUCCGAUCGAUAUGUCAGGUUUACUUCCCGUUUUUGGCAGAAGUUCCAUGAGGAACUGGGUACACAACUGCAUUUUAGUACGGCGUUCCAUCCGCAGACUGAUGGGCAGAGUGAGCAGACCAUUUAGACCCUCGAGGAUAUGUUCCGGGCGUACGUUAUUGAUUUCGGUGGGAGUUGGGAUUCCCACCUACCACUUGCAGAGUUCACUUACAACAACAACUAUCAUUCCAGUAUUGGCGCCCCGCCUUUCGAGCUAUUGUAUGGGCGGAAGUGUAGGACCCCAGUCUGUUGGGGCGAGGUUGGGCACAGAGUGAUGGGUCGGACAGAGGUAGUUCUGCAAACUACCGAAAUGAUACAACAGAUUAGACAGCGACUGCAGACCGCUUAGAGCCGGCAGAAAAGCUAUGCCGAUCGACGCCGAUCGGAGCUGGAAUUUCAGGUGGGUGACAUGGUUCUUCUGAAGGUCUCACCCUGGAAGGGUGUGAUCCGCUUCAGGAAGAGGGGAAAAAUUAGGUCCCCAUUAUAUUGGGCCGUUUAGGAUUAUCGCCAAGGUUGGCAGGGUGGCUUAUAGGCUAGAGCUCCCGGAGGAGCUUAUCCAGAUCCACAACACAUUUCAUGUUUCGCAAUUACGAAAAUGCAUUAUGGACCAGGAGACAGUGGUAUCGUUGGAUGACAUUUAGGUCGAUAAGUGCCUGAACUAUGUGGAAAGGCCUGUGGCGAUUUUGGAAAGGAAGAAGAAGAUUCUGCGGAACAAGGAAAUACCUUUGGUAAAGGUACAAUGGGAACAUCGGAAGGGAUCCGAGUGGACAUGGGAGCCGGAGGCGGAGAUGCGCGAGCAUUACCCGACAUUGUUUAUCCCAACGGACUUCGAGGGCGAAGUCUAGUUCAAGUGGGGGAGAGUUGUAACGCUCCGAUUCUUAGGUAUUAAGUACAUAAGAAUUAUUGGAUGAAGCCCUACUCGAUGAGUCGGUCGACCCACUCGACGAGUAGCAGCGGGGUGGGACCGCGUGUUAAGUGACCUACUCGACGAGUCCACUUUGGGACUCAGCAAGUAGGAGCUGGCAGAUGAAACCCUAAAUCCCGAGGUUUGCACCCCUGUUUAAAGGAGCCUCAGCCUCCUUUGGCCUCCUUGCAGUCUUUGAGAGCCCUUAAAACCCUAAUACGUGUGUGUGUGCCAUUGUGUGAUUGAAGCCUGAAAAGAGGAUUUUGGAGAGAGAAGGCUUAGAGGAGAAGGGUAUUGGAGCAAGUGGAGUGUGGAAACCAGCUCUUAUCUCGGUCAUCAUCUUCUGGAGGUAACCAAAUCGCCUUUCUUCUUGUGAAUCUCUUCCAUUGUUGAGUUUUAGGGUUCUUGGUGAAGUAUUAAGUUGAAAGGAUGAGCUAUGGGCUAGAUCUGAGGAUGUAACUUUAGAUCUGGACCCUCCUUGGAUGCUAGAAUCAUAAAGUUGUUGUAUUGGUUGUGAUUGAGGUCCCUAUUAGACUUAAAGCUUCAUUAAGAACUUAAAAUAGACAUUUAGAGCCUUUAUAGCCAUGCAUGCACGUAAAGUUUGCAACUUUACGUGAUAAGUAUGCCCUAGAAGCUUGGAUCUGUUAUUUGGGGCCGCUGCAUGGCUCAAAUCAAGUCUAUAUGGAAAAAGAACUGAAUGGACUCGGCGAGUCGCAAGGUGACUCGGUGAGUCAUAUGAAGAUGGCCGUGAACUCGACGAGUUGGAUGAACAACUCGGCGAGUCUAAUGAAGAUCACCAUAAGACUCGACGAGUUGAAGAACAACUCGGCGAGUCGGAUGAGUUUUCCCUAGAUUAUGUAUGCGUGUGUAUAUGUCGAGUUGCAAGGAGGAAACUCGACGUGUGACCUUAAGUUUGAUCGAGGAUCAAAGGAACUCAACGAGUCACUCCGAUGACUCGGCGAGUUGGAAUGUACUUCAGGGAACUCGGCGAGUAGCCAAGGGUACUCGGUGAGUUAAGGUCAACAUGGACUGUUGGCCUUGAUUGAGGACUUUGACUUUGACCAGGGGUUAACUAGUGGGUUAUGGAGUACCUUGUAAGGUUAAGGACUUAUGAGUAUGAUGUGCUUUGAUGAUAUGUGGUGGAACCUGUGUCAAGUGAUCCGAGAGUUGGAGUUUUCCUUUCGUGUCGACAUCUGCGAGGUGAGUUAUCCUCACUAUAUCGAUAGGGUCUACGGCACCAAGGCCGACCCUUUAGUUGUUAUUGUUAUGGUAUGUUGCAUGUGGUUAUGAUUUGUUAGUUCGGAAUCGAGGUAGACAGUAUGUUAUGAUUUUAUGAUCCGUAGGGAUUGGUGUGGUAGUGACCUGAUAGGUCGGUACUCUAGUUACAGGAGAAUUUUAUGAUUAUGAUCAGUGAGAUAGAUAUGCUUGAUGUUUGUAUAUGCCAGUAUAUGAUAGCUAUGCGUACAUGGUUAUUUGCUUGUUGGUUGGGUUGAGGCGGUCCUGCUUUGUGCUGAAGGCCAACAUACCCUAUGAGCGGUCCUGGGAGACUGUAGGCCCACGUGGCGGACCGGUCAUGCCGAGGGCUCGGGAUAGAUUCAGACAAACUGUAGGCCCGGUAGGGCGGUCCGUCAGGCCGAUGGCCCAAUAUGCAUGAUGAUUGAUUGAUUAUUACUGAUAUGGUAUUGUUAGUGUGGUAUUGGUAUUUUGGGGGUAGCUCACUAAGCCUCGGGCUUACAGUUUUUAGUUUAUUGUUUCAGGUACUUCAGGAGUCCAUGGAAAGUCGAAGGCGUGACCGUACCGCUCCUCAUCCUUAUGUUAUGAUUUUUUGGACACUCUGAUGGAAAAUGAUUUGAAAACAUUUUGUAAACGAUGCUUUACGGUUUUUAUUUAUGAUUGAAAAGUUUAAAUUUGGCGUAAAAUUGAUGGAUGUUACACCAAUCUUCAUCAAAACGAUCACCACUUGAGUAGCAAGCUUGAACCUUUUGGUUUCCAUUUUCAUUAAGGUCACAAUCCUUAGUCAAAUGCAGCCUGUUGCAGUUUUCACACCCAACCCGAAUAGCAUGGAUUGUUUGAUCCAUUUUAGUCAUUCUUCUAUCCAUGUUUUGUAGCAUCGCCAAUACUGCUGACAUAUCUUCUGAAGCAACAUUUGUUGAACCCCUAGUUACGUCAUUCCUCGGAUUAUGGUAUUCUCUAGAGUACUUAGAGAAUUCUUCAGUGUGUUCCUUAACUCUUACCAAAUUUUUCUUUGUUAAGGGGCCUUGAGAGUUAAGGAGUUGUCUAGUCAUGACGUUUACCCCAUCAUCAAAGAUCAACACUUCUUGUUGCACAUUGAGAUCAUUUUGUGGGCAAUUCCUUAUCAGGCCUUUGUAGCGCUCCCAUGCUUCGUACAACGACUCCCCCAAUUGUUGUUCAAAAUUGGUGAUGGCCUUUUUGAGCUUGGCCACCUUGGAUAGUGGGCAAAACAAUUCCAAAAACAAUUCGCGCAUUUUUGCCCACGUAGUAAUCGUGCCCGGUGGUAGUGCUUUCAGCCAAUCCUUUGUGGCUCCCUUGAAAGUGAUGGGGAGCAUCCUUAACAACACCGUUUCUCUUGGUACAUUCAGAAUGUUGAAGUAGUUGGCGAUGUCGUUGACUUCAUCUAGAUGCUUAUAAGCGUCUUCAUGAUCCUUUCCAGUGAAAGGAAUCUCCUUCAAUGCAGUAAGGAUGUGCCCCUUGAGUUCAAAUGUUGCAAUGGCGGGUAUGGUGGGUUGCACAAGCCCCAGACUGGUGUCGUCUCGAACUCUCUUUUUGUACGCCUCCAUCGAGAGGUCGGCAAUGUUCGCCAUGGUGUUGUCGGGUUCUGUGUUUAGCUCGUUUUCUAUUUCAGAUUCGGUUUCGCUUCCUUCUUUUUCUGUUUUGUACUCGGCGUCUUCCUUCGUUGGAUUUCUCUUUGUGUCUUCUUCCUUAAGUGUUUUGCUAGAUUCUCCUACUUUUCCUUCUUCUUGCCAAAAACGACUUGAGAUUUUUGAAAGGUGACUUCUUUGGUGUAGCGGGUUCUCUUUCGGUUUUGCUUUUGUUUUUGCGAAAAGCGGAUUCCGGGUCUUCAAGUGGUGGGAUCAAAGAGGAAUUUGAUCCACGGGUCAUACACAAUCUGCAAUUAAAUAAAGGAAACAAGUAAAAAGAACAAAAACGAAAAAUAAAAUCCUACUAUUACGAUGCCACGACAUGGUAGAAAUUACCACGUCGUGGUGAGUAAAAAGCAAGUAAAUCCUAAAAUAAAAAUAAAUAAAAAACUAAACGAUAACUAAUACUAAUAAAACAGCAGAAUAAAGGUAACUGAGAUUCCACCGUUCCCCGGCAACGACCCAAAAACUUGAUGUGUAUUUAAUGUGUUUAUAUUUUUAUUCAAGUUUUAAAUUUAUAAAAGCUAUUUCCUUUACUAGACUAUUAAACACACUAGGCAAUGUACCUAAUCGUGCAAUAGUAUAGAUAUGGUAAGAACGAGUGUCGAACUCAAGGAACGGUGUUUUAAUUAACUUUAUUCUACUAUUAACUAAUUACUAAUUAGAUAAGAAAAAUGUUUUGUUUUCCUAGUUUUGCAAGACUAGAUACUUAAAUUAUCAACUAACUAAAAUUCACUUAAUUAAGCUAACACUGAACUAAAGCAAAUUAACAAGUAUGAAUUAACCAAGGUGAGUAAUUUGUUAUUAUGGUUGAUUUAUGGAAGUGCAAUGGACUUAGUUUGUAACAUCCCGAUAUAUCAAGGGUAGAGUUGAAGGGCUAAAAGAGUAAUUUGGGAAAGAGUGACUCGGCGAGUCCAUGNAUGGACUCGGCGAGUAGAGUCGCGAUUUGGUCGCGUGUUAAGUAGUCGACUCGGCGAGUCAAUGUGGUGGACUCGGCGAGUAGGCGCUGAGUGAAGAAAACCCUAAUUCUCGGGGUUGAGCCCUAUAUAAAGAACAUUAUGUUUCAUUCACAGCCUCUUUAUCAUCCCAUAAGUUCCAGAGGCCGUGAUUUCGUGAGGAAACACCAUUGUUCAGUGGAUUGGAGCUUGGAGAAGUAUUUGUUGAAGAAAGUUUGGGAGUUUGAAGGUGUGGAGCAAGGGGCUUUGCUUGGAUUCGAGUUUCCUUGCAGAUUGGGGCGUUCUUUUGAGGUAAUAUCUCGUUCUUAGGCUGUUGUUAUCUUGUUUCUUCAUUUUGGGGUUUGAGGGAAGCUUAUCUUGAGUUAUAUUGGAGUCUAGAGGUUAGAUCUGAGGUUGUUACCUCAGAUCUGGAAUGGAGAGGAGUUGGGAUGCAGGAAAGCCCCUGUAUUGAGUGUUGGAUGAAGCUAUCUUGUCCCAAACCUUAUCCCUAAUGUGCAAAAUGCAUAGAUCUCUUUGGAUUCACGUAAAGUUUGCCACUUUACGUGAUGGAUGAGUUGUAGGAGGCUAGAUCUAUGUUUUGGAUCAAUUGCAUGGUCUGGAAUGUUUCUGUAUGGAUUCAGACCGUUGGUACUCGGCGAGUCACAUGGGUGUACUCGACGAGUUGCUUGAAGAUGAGCUGGAACUCGACGAGUUGGAAGAACAACUCGGCGAGUUGGAUGAAGAUGGCCUGGAACUCGGCGAGUUGUAUGAACAACUCGGCGAGUAGGUUGAAGAUAGCCUUAGACUCGGCGAGUCUGUUCUUGGGCUCGGCGAGUCUUGUCGAAGAGUCCCAAUAUUUUCUGGUUGAGUCGAGAAUCGGCGAGUCAAGGGAUGACCCGGUGAGUUGUGUGCGAGUGGACUCAGAGUUGUGGGACUCGGCGAGUCUCGGGGUGACUCGACGAGUUGAGUCGCGGAUUGAGUGAAGUUCUGAGUUUGGGAACUCGGCGAGUCAUAGGGUUGACUCGGCGAGUAGGGUCAGUCAGGGGUUGACUUUGACCUUGUCCUUAACCAAGAGUUGACCGUUGAGUUUAGAGUUUGGUCAGCGAUGUGGCCUUUGGGCUAAGUGAGGGGUAAAAUAGUCUUUUACCCUUAAGAGGGUGCCAUGAGUGGGUUGAUUCUAGUCUCGAGAGUUUUAGUCAUGAGAGUAUUUGCCUUACGUGUUAGGCGGUGGCGAGUUCGAGAUUCAAGUGUGGAGAUAUCUGCUUUCUGCUUGCCAGGUGAGUCUUCUCACUAUACUUUACCUUGAGUAGGUAACCAGAGUUAUGUGAUCAGAGUAUUUGUAUGCUAUAUGUAUGUGAUGUGUUGUACUGCAUUAUUUCUAUGUGAUUUAUGCUGUGCAUGUUUAUAGAGUUGGAACCGGAAGGUUCCCAGAGUUAGAACCUGAGGGUUCAUAGAGUUUGGAUGCACGGACCCAUAGAGUUAUUAUAGCCUCGAGUGGCUAAUAUGUGUUAUGUGUGGUAUUUUGGGGAACUCACUAAGCUUCGUGCUUACAGUGUUUGUGUUAUGUUUGUUUUUCAGGUUUCUUUCAGUAUCACGGGACGGUACUGGCUUGAUUGUACACACCAGAGAAAGAGUCAUGUUUUGGAGGAUCCUGGUUUUCUAUGCAAGUGAAAAUGGAGUUAUGUUUUGUAAUUCGAUUAUGAAUGAGAUUUUAAACAAGUGUUUCUAAGAAUUAAACGAUUAUUUUAAAUGAAAAAUUGUUUUGAAAUUUAUGGUGUUACAUAGUUUCUUUAGUUACCAAUUCAUAAGAUGACCAAAUUAGUAUUCACUAAUUUAAUCCUUUAGCAAACUAGCUUAUUUAUUCGGUGAUCAGACUGACAAACUUACAAGUUCACUAGUGUUCAAUUCGAAUUGAUUAGAAUUAUAAUUAAUUGACCAAUUUAGUUUAUUGAUUCAAUUUAAUACAUGAUUUGUCGUCAUAUAUUAGCUCCUAUACCAUUUUACCCACUUUUCUACUUAACCUAGAUUUUAUUCAAAACUUUAGUCCUACAAUUUUGCAAAUCACAAGAUCAUAAGAUUCAAAUUUAACUAAAAAAGAUGGUCAUACUAACUUAAUCAAAUUCAGUAAUAAGUAGAGAAAAUUAGUUAUCAAAAGUACCUGAGGUUCUUUAAUAAGUUAAAUCAACAAAUAACCAAAUAUCUAAAUCCAAUCCAUGAAAUCAACCAUAAAUAGUCAGGUCAUCCUAGGCUAAACGAAAGUCAUGAGUAUUUAGCUCAUGAUUUCAGCAAACAAAAUCACAAAAACGAAAUUCAUAGUAUUUGACAUAGCAAAAUCUAAUAAAAAAUCAAAGUUUAAAGUUUAGUUGCCUUAAUGCUCCUUCUUCCAAGGUAUGUGAAUGAAAUUCUUGCUUCCAAGCCUUAGAACCAGUGUUUAGCCUUCAAAAGUGUCGAAUUCUCCAGAGCCAAAAGUUCCCAUUCGGAGGUUUAAGUGAUUUAUUUAUAAUUUUCUCAAAAUCAGAACACCACAUCAUUGUAAAGCCACCACGCCGUGGUAAUCGUGUUUAUCCCGUGUUUUCCAAGUCUUUGAAGUUGAUCGGGAUUCUUCAAGUCGCCACAUCAUGUGGAAUCCACCAUGAUGUGUUGGACAUAUUUUUCUUCAUUUUAGAGCCUUGGUUCCAAACUCGCAACUUCUAGCAUCCAAUGUCUAGCUUCCAGCUUCCUUUUUGCUCCAAGCUUGUCUUUUGGUCCCUACAACACGAUUCAUAGCAAAUUAAGUAUCUUUUGUUCUAAUAAGGGAAUAAAAGUAAUUAAAAUAUUAAGAUAUGUUGUAUAAUUAUGUGUAUAGAUAUGCACAUAUCGCUCCACAUUUCAUGAGGUGUCAUAAUCCUACUCAAGGUAUGUCACUCAAGGCACAAUCUUGGAGUAUAACUCUAAGACUCGAUUUUGGAACGAAGUAUGACUCAUAUCUUGAUUUAACCACUUCAACAACUCACGAUUCCUCUUAUUAGCCAUACAAUUUCACUAAGGUGUCCUUAGAUGAUCAAUUGUGACAUGUUUCCAUAAUCAUUAGGAUGAUCAUAAAACACGAUACUAAAGUACUAUCCUUUCCUUUCAGAUUGGAGAAACUUUUAUCUUUCUGCCUAAUUGAUUCUUCUUAUUCGUUUUGCUUAUACUUUGAAACUUUUCAAGGUAUUAUAAUUAUACUUAAACUUGUAGGCAUAACCAUAUUUACUGAACCACUAGUAAAUCAUGACGAAUAGCCUAUAUCAUUCUUUGUGGUGGAUCUGGCUUGUACACAUCAAUGUGCAUUAGAUCCUUAAGCCUUUCACUUGACUCACAUACAUAUGUGAACAAGAAAUUAGUCUUAAUUUCUCAAAGAUGAAGAUUCUCAUACAUCACACAAUACAAGUCGCAUGAUUCUAAGUUUCUAUCCAAUUGAAACCUGGGUGAUGAGAAUCUUUCCUUAUUUGGUAAAUUUCUAACACUACCAUAAACGAUAUUACUAAGAAUCAAAUCCACUUUCAAUAUUGCUCAAAAUAUAUAAACACCAAUUUUUACAAAUGCCAUUGCAAGGAAAUAUAAAUAAAACAAAAUCAAAAUUUUUCUUUAUUUAUAAAAAUGCGGAAAACUUGUCCUUACAAUGCAAAUUCAUAUGAAAACUAUGUUUCUAAAUAUUCCUAAGCAAUCUAUCAUAAAUACUAAGCAGGAGCUCAAGAAUCUGAUCAUCGAACCAUGUAAUUGAAAUCCAUCUAUUCGCGACCAGACUCAACUCACUCUUCCUUUAAGCUUCCUUUCUUUUCUUCGAUCAUACAAAACAUCAAAAUGCAAUCUUAUCACGUCAUGUAUUAAGAAUCUAUAAACAUGAACUUAAUAGAGUUAGAUAACAUAAUUACUUGAAGUAGAGUCAUACAUUCUGACUUUACUAUCCUUGAGAUCUUUCAGGUAGAUAUGGCAGCUUCGCAUCCAAUGCCCCUUCUCUUGGCAAUAGAAACAAACAAAUUCUUUCGGAAUGGUACAUGAGACUAUCUCAGACCCAGCCGUUCUCUUUACCAUUUGGUCAAACAGUUUGACCUUGGUCGAUCCCUUUCCAUUGGGAAGAGAAAACUUUUUUGGAGUUCCAAUGUUGCCAUUGUCAAUGUCCAUGAAAGUUUGGGAAGUAUAUCUUCCAAUCGAAUUUGCUUUACCAGUGCACCAUAUCAUUGUUGAUUCAACAGCAAUAAGCAAAUAUGUAAGAUCAAUAAGGGUCACGUCAUGAUCUGUCAUAUAGUAGUCUUUAACAAACUGGCCAUACGACUCGGGAAGUGACUGAAGAACCAAGUCAACAGCCAACUUCCUUGGGAAAAUAACACCCAACAUUCCCAACCUGUCAAUGCAUGUCUUGAACCCAAAAUAGGUCAAACUGGGGAUUUAUGACCUACUCUCCAUGCAUGACAUCAAAACUUGACUAUAGGCCAGAUCCAAGGCUUUACAAGGUCACCUAGACCUAGAUAUUCAUAAAGUUGCUAACUUUAUGAGAUCUAAACAUCCCCUCACUCAAGAACAACAAGUAAAAGGGAAAAAACUCAAGAUCUAGAAACAUAGAGGAAUAAAAAUCGGAUAUUGGAUACUUACAAAGGUCCAGAAGAGUACCAAACUGAAAGAUGAGGGUUUGCUUGUUGGAUCCUUGCUUCCUUCUUCUUUGGCUCCAAAAACACCACACUAGAUCACAAAUGAGAGGGAAAGAUGAUUCGGGUUCUCAAGAGUUAAUAUGGGGAUUGGAGGGUGAUAAAAGACCAGCCCUUGGGACUUAAGGAGAUUAUAUAGGGUACAAAACCCUAAAAUUUAGGGUUUUCUCAACCAGCUGCCAACACGCCGUGUUGCCCAUCAACACACCGUGUUGGCUAAUAAAAACGCGCAGCCCAGAAGUUCUCAACAAGUUGUGGUGAGGCUUCACCACGUCGUGUUCAAAAGGGAAAUCAUGCAUAAAUGGAAUAAAUCUCAUACCUGGAAAUUGGGAUGUUAUAAUUUUUAUAUAAACAGUUUCAUAUAAACAUUGAUACGUACCUAGAAAAUCCUCAUGUACUCACCUUGCUAGUUAGUGAAAAGUAUCUUCUACUCUAAUCUCCAAUUAUGUGCCAUCUCUAUUCUCAAUCACUUGUCCAAACCUGUUUGGACAACAUACCAAGUUUCUCAGAACUUGUCCCAAUUUACUGAAAACUUAACCAUAAUACAUAUCACAGUGAUCAUUUUUCUGCUCACUAACCGACUUGGUAAAUACUUGUUAUCAAACUCAUCUAAUAGGAUCUUACAUUUAGUAAACAGAUUAACCUUGUAACAUGUUAGUAAAAAUCUCACAUUUUAGACAUUUUUGUAAACUAGGGUUUAUAACCUUCACUAGCAAAAUCAAGAAUUCCUCCACAAAAUUCAUCUGUCAAACUUACCAUUAAGUUCAUAAUAGCACCAUAUCAUGAACCCCAAUAAUUACUUCGGGUCUUAACAACCCUUCAUGAUCUAUGCUAUGUAAACACAAUUAUGUACUAAUAGUCGAGAUAAUACCUUCACUCACUCAACGAUCGUACCAUGGUAAACAGUAUCGUUAUGCACUUCCUCUAACUACGAGUCAUCACCCGAAUGUUCGGAAAUCUUGAUCGGAAAAAUGUAUAACCGAAGAAACUGUUUCAACUACUUAUACCCCGUCGGAACACGCACAUACACGCUGGGUCAGUUAUGUGGAUGUGUCGCGUCCACAUGUCCAACAUAGAAUCUGCUUCGUGUCCCAACUUUCACUACAUGUCACUUACCUUGCAACACAUUUCUGAUGACUCACAAUUAUCGACGCGUCGAGCUUCUAAACAGUACGCGCCAUAUAAAUGCUUUAUGUGUCGUGCGUAAAAAGUCAUGCACCGCGUUUCCUCAAAUAUUGACUUUUUUAUUUUACUAAAUAACAUUCUACUUCCUUAUUUGUCAUUCCCACUUAGAGUAUAAGAAAUACUUAAAUUUUGGGUCGUUACAUAAGCCCCCUUAGGGGGGGGGAAUGGUAAAGGAUUUGUUAGCCAUAAUAAGUGCCCCCCUUAGCCCGGGGUAGGGGGAGGGUUGAACCAAUUUUUCACAAUAAUCCCCCAGGGGAAGUGACCAGUUCUCAGAGUUGUAAUACCUAAAACAGCCCCUCAUGGGAAAUCAGUCUACGAUAUAGUGUUGGUACCAACAAUAUGUUUUAGGAACUCUAUUUCAUCAUUUUCAAGCUUUGAAAGGUUUUCUGUAGUUGGAGGUUCAUGUUGUGGUGUUGCUUCACCACCAAUAGUGGUUAUGGCAACAUUAUAUGCAACUUCUCUAACAACUACAUGGGGACCUUUAAUUACAGAACACCAUACAUCACUUCCUAACAUUUGAGAUAGUUACCAAUUAUGGUCUUUUUUUAUUGCUCAUAUUCUUCUAUAAUAAGAAUGGUGAUCUAGUCGAACAACCCAAGCUAUUGGAGAUGUUUACAACAUAAAUCAAUUGUAAGUUAGGAUUUACCAUUUGUUUUUUAGAAAACAUUUUGAGCAACGAUUGUAUAUAAAUGAUACUUCUAAGUUUUGCAUAAAUGCAAGAAACUAAUGUUUCUUACAACGAUAAUAUAAUGAAGAUAGAUAAUAAACACCCAAUCUAGGCUCUAAUACCAAAUGGUAAACCAUGAUAAUGAUUUAAGGAAAAUAUAUAGUGCAUAUUGUAAAUNNNNNNNNNNNNNNNNNNNNNNNNNNNNNNNNNNNNNNNNNNNNNNNNNNNNNNNNNNNNNNNNNNNNNNNNNNNNNNNNNNNNNNNNNNNNNNNNNNNNNNNNNNNNNNNNNNNNNNNNNNNNNNNNNNNNNNNNNNNNNNNNNNNNNNNNNNNNNNNNNNNNNNNNNNNNNNNNNNNNNNNNNNNNNNNNNNNNNNNNNNNNNNNNNNNNNNNNNNNNNNNNNNNNNNNNNNNNNNNNNNNNNNNNNNNNNNNNNNNNNNNNNNNNNNNNNNNNNNNNNNNNNNNNNNNNNNNNNNNNNNNNNNNNNNNNNNNNNNNNNNNNNNAUAUAUAUACAUUGUAUGAGAAGAACUUAAAGUAUAUAAAUGAAACUCAGUAAUAAAGAAAAGAACAUUCCAUAUAACAAUGGAAGUGUUCUUAGAAAGGUGUAAGGGAAGACAUGAUGUCAAUCUUAUAAAUAGAUGUUGCCACAAGAUCGACUAAUAUACAUUACAAUAGAUAAUAACAAAACAUAUUUGUCAUUACACAAAACACAAAUACAUAGAAUACAAAGUCAACUUCUCGAAACGAUCUUAUGGGGUCACCAAUCUUUAGUGGCGAGUCUAUAAUAGAAAACCAUAUGGUUCAUUAAUUUUUGUAUAUGAAAUUUUCUACACAAAUUCAAAGAUUUUAUUAGUAAGGUAGAUCCUAAAUCUUUUUCUAAGGUAGGUCACAAAAAAUUUUCUAUAGAAAGUUUACAUAAAUUAGAAAAAUUAGGUGGCUCAUUAAACCCACCUUAUUUAUACAUAGCCUCGUCACUGCUAAUCUUCUUUGCACAUUGCUCUCCGAAGGGCUUCAUCUCUUCAAAUGGCUAUUCAUGUGGAUGACACUUUUGGGUUCCAACAUGUAUUAAUAAACAAUUCCUAACUCUCUAACUCUAUUUUUUUGAACACUUUUUUGAGUUAACACCCAUAACUUGAACGUCAGAGCAUAAUCAUGAACCAUAUCCCGAAUUAUUGACCAUAGUCUACCUGUGUGAUCAAUAUGUACCAAAGAAUCAAGUUAUUCCAUGAAGAUCCUAUAUUCUUGCUACAUACUCUUUCACCUUCAAUCCUUUCUAGGCCUUGGUUGCAUCAAUUACCAUGUUUUAUACACAAGAUUAAAUGUAUAUUUGUGUAAGUAUAUUUAUUUAUAUUUUUUAUAAUUUAUGUCAAAAAAUAAUCUUUGAUACAAAUUAUGAAUGUACUACUAGUAAGAAAUCAACUUUAUUGCAUAGAUUGGUAAAAGAUUUAUAAAAAUUAUAUACGCUUACACAAAUAGAAUUGAUAAACCGGUUUAUAUUAUAUUUUUGAAAAGUUAAAUGAGCUAUUAUGUAUUUUUGAAUUGUUGAAGGGGGUUAUUCUGUACUUUUCAAAAGUUGCUUCUGUUUUGUCAUACUCACCUAUUUUGUGACAAGUACUGAGUCGGGAGUUAAAAACCCUGUACGAACGUCGUGUAUCGCUCUCUCUCAACCUCCUCGCACUCAUCCCUCACCUAUUUUUCCCAUAAUACUUCACCCUCGCAGCUCGGAAGAUGAAACCUGAAACCAAAAUCAAGCCACAGAGGAGCAUGAUAAAUUCGGAAUUCUGAAUUCGAAGUUAUAGGUAUGUAUGCUAACACCGGUCCCCCAUUUUUGCAUAAUUUCCCGAUUUUGAACAUGUUAACCAUAUAAAAGGUACUUGGGCAUAGGAUAACUUUUGGACAUUUUCUCCGGUUGUCAAUUUUUAGGAUGCAUAUUUAAUUGUAAUCGAAUAUCGUGUUAUUCUCCAUCAAUGCCUUCUAUUUAAUACACAUAUGCUAUGCAUCGACUCAUUCAUCAUUUCUUCAUAUGAAUGCUUAUUUUCCCACUCAAAUUGAAGAUCGGUUUAGUUAUCAGGUGGUUGUUUUACCACAUGUGGAAAUUGUUUUUGGAAUUUUAUUCAAUUAAACCUCCUUCUUGGAGGUGUUCAAGGUAUAAAGGGGCACUGCAUAAAGGAGGACGAAAAAAAAUAUUCUUUUUAGGGCCCAUACUCUGGAAAUUUCCUUUAGUUUCUUCACUUUAAACAUUUUCUGCGUGUAAUUGUAAAACCCUAAACCUAAGUAGAGUGGUGUAUCCCUAUCGAAAAAAGUCUACUUAGCUUUUGAAAGUUCAGCCUAAUAUAUAAACCCUAUAGUAUAUCUUUAUUAACUUUAUUUGUAUGAACUGAAAUAGCUUUUGUUAAUUUUGUUGUAGAAAUCCCCUUGAGACUUGAUAGUCAAAGAAAGACUAUGCUGUGAAGCCUGUGAUGAAGUUUGAUUCUACCAUGGUGCAUUUGUUAUGAGCAAUAUGUUAAGUUUUAGUUAAGUGUGUUAAUUAUUAAGCUCUAUAUCUUCAUUUUUGUGGCAAUAUGGAAAAUCGAGAGGCAAAUGGAUCAUGUUUUUGGUUGGAGGAGACUAAUGAUCAUGAGCAAACACCAAUCCCCAUGAAGCAUAAAAGAAAAGUAAAGGCAAAACCAGAGUUUGUUGGAUGGGGUUCCAAAUCUUUAAUUGAGUUUCUCCAAUCAAUUGGCAAAGACACUGAUGAACAGCUCUCUGAGAGAGAUGUGAAUGCCAUUAUAAUUGAAUAUGUGCACACAUUAAAUCUUUUCCACCAAACAAAAAAGAAAAAAGUUGUAUGUGAUGAAAGGCUUCGAUCUCUUUUCGGAAAGAAAUCAAUACCUCGAAUCAAAAUCCAAGAUUUGCUAAAAUCCCAUUUUGCUGAUAAUCAUCAAUCCUCUGAAGAUGAUUAUUUGUAUAGUUCAGAUGAAUAUGAAGAUUCCAAUAUAACAUACAAGAAACAGAAGGUGUCAGAUUUAGAGAAGAAACCUCAAGCUUCCUCUCAAAAGAAAAAAACACCCAUGAGCUCUUUUGCAGCUAUUAUCCCCGAAAACAUAAAGCUUUUAUAUUUAAAAAAGAGUUUAAUUCAAGAGCUCAUUAAACACCCCGAGAGUUUUGAAGAAAAACUAUUGGGUAGUUACAUAAGGAUAAAAUGUGACCCAAAUGAUUACUCUCAAAAAAACUCCCAUCAACUUCUUCCCAUUACAGGGGUAAAAUUGGUAACUGGAAAUACUGAUGAACAACAAGACAUUCUCCUUCAAGUUCCAAACAUGGUGAAAGACAUAACUAUAAACAUGUUGUCUGAUCAUGACUUUUCUAAGGUAGUUAACAUUUCUUACAUGAUUCAGUUUCAUCUUCAUUAUUUAAUUAUUUCAUCUUUUUCAGGAAGAAUGUGAUGAUUUAUGUCAAAAAGUUAAGGAUGGGUUGCUAAAGAGACCCACUGUUGUAAGUUUUUUGUUUUUUCUUCUCUGUAAAUUAUUAUUAUUAAUUACUUUUUAAUCCGAGUUUAUUGGCUUCCUUUGUAGGUGGAAGUUGAGAAAAAGGCACAGCUUUUACAUGAGGAUAUAAUAAAACAUGUAAGUAAUACUCACUUGUUAUGAAAAAUACAAGAAAUAGCAUCACAUUUAUAAAAUUUACCAUUUUAUAGUAAUUAAAUGACAUUGCUAUAAUUAAUUUACAGUGGCUUCCUAGAGAACUAAGCUAUCUACAAAACCUCAUAGAUCGUGCAAAUGAGAAGGGGUGGCGUAGGGAAUAUCCUUUUUUAUGAUGUACAAAAAUGGCAUUUUACAUGAUUGAAUUUGAGGUUCCUGUUUAUAUUUAUUAUUGAAUAAAAUAAUUUAGAUACUUGGGAAACCUUUACUUGCUUCAGCUCUUACAUUGUAUGAGUAUUUAGAAAGAAGGAAUCUGCUUCAAAAACCUUCUGAACAGUCAAAGUUGUUGACCGAGGUCCCAAAGGUGACUCCAGAUGUACUAGAUCCACAAGAUAUACAAGACUUAUGUAGUCCAGAUGCUGCAGGUAUGUAUUUUCAGAAGGGUAAAUCCGUCAUUUACUCAUUCAAUCCAAAAGGAAACUAUUUGUUUCUACAACACUUACUCUACACAAACAUCAUGUAUUGUAUCCUUACAACACUUAAAAAGAAGAAGGGUAAAACCGUCAUUUUCUUACCAGCCUGUUUGUCCUCCUUUGUUUUUUCUUCCAUUUCCCAAAGUUUGCUGUUGUUUCUCAAAUUAUACAAAAGGGUAAAAUGGUCAUUUACUUGCAUUCAGUCCACAAAAGAAACAAACCCUUAAUCUGGUAAUUUUUCAAAGUACAAUGUUGUAGUAAAAAUGAAAGUACAUUGCUAUUUAUUGCAUUCACCUGUUUUUUAAGGGUUAAUCUCAUAUAAGACCUUAUAUUUUGUGUUUUUCCGGAUUUAACCUCGACUUUAUUUUUUUUCCAGAAAAAGACCUUGUAUUUUUUCGAUCUGAUCCUUUUAGUCAUUUUUUUUCCGAAAUAACUUAGGGUUUUUUCCGGAAAAAACUAAAAAAGUUGAGGGUUUUUUCAGAAACAAUUAACAGGUUGAGGGUUUUUUUAGGAAAAAUGAUAAAAUACAAGGGUUUUUUCAGGAAACAAAUAAAGUUGAGGUUUAAUCUGGAAAAAAUACAAAAUAUAAGGUCUUUUAUGAUAUUAACCCUUUUUUUAAUCAUCAUUUAUCCAACCAUUUGUACAGACGCAGAACAAGUGGUGGAUCUUGAUGAAGCUAAUGAAGGCAACCAACAGUCGGUGGAGAACAGGGGUAUUAAAGUAAUUUCACAUGUAAAUUCAGGAGAAAAAGUAACCACAGGAGGUUUCGAGUGGGUUGAAUCCGUGAAGAUUUGUGACAUCAAAAGUCCAAGUGACACAUUGGUGGAAUUAAACAACAACGUGACAAAUGUGAUUGAGCUAAGUGAUGAUGAAGAUGAUGAUAAUAAUAAUAAUAAUAAUAAUAAUAAUAAUAAUAAUAAUAAUAAUAAUAAUAUUAAGACACAAGGAAAUAUAAUACAAGAGGAAAAUGUGUGUGAUGUAUCCCUUCAACAAUGGUUUUAUUUGGAUCCACAAGGAAAAAUCCAAGGCCC